UAUUUCUUUUUAUUUUAGUAAUUGAGUUUUGUUACAAGAUAGAUUCUGAAACAGUUUUACACACACACACUACUCAACCUUGCUUAGCAAGGCAAUCAAACAUGACUUAUUAGGAAAAGAAAAAAUUGAAACAAAAUUAAGAUGAAGCUUGCAUGUCUCAUCAUCAUCAUCUGCUGCUUAUGAAGUUGCAGGGACCAAGCGUCUGGAGCAAAUUGUGCAGUAGAAUUUCUUCUUAACUUUAUGAGAGAUUGGAAGAAAACAAAAUCUCAAAUGGGCAUCAAAAUCUAUUGCCAGCACAGGCCCUCCACAGUAUGGGCAAGCUGCAUCAGCUCCAUUUCUCCUAAUCACCUUUUCUCGCAGAUCGAAUAUUGACAACACACUCAUUUUUCUCUUUUUGUUGGGGGACGUUGUUGUAAGCAAUGCUUGUUCUCAAUAUAUUUUUGUAUGCACAUAAUAUAUACUUAAAGAUUUGGGCAUGCAACUUCUUUGGAGUUUCAUUUUUAAUGCUGUUUCUUAGCUGGGGCGCUAUUUUUUUUUUUAAUUUAGUUACAACUGUUAAAGAACUUGGUAUUUUUCUCGAACUGAUUGGUGAUGUUCACGUUUGGUGCGUUUAAAGCAAGAAAUGAAUCAAUUGAGAAGCUGCGAAGAAAUUGGUAUUGAAAGCAGCGAGGUUCGCUCCAGGUCAAAAAAAUGGUGCAUUGACGGUUUGACUUCUUGGACAUUUUAGCUGCGGUUUCUCACUGAGCCCGUGUUUUUAAUUACAAUAGAAGCUUUACACCCUGGAUUUUGAUGUAACUGAUGUAUUCAUUUGACGCACCGCACCAUAUUAUGUGAAAAGAAAGGAAUAAAAUCCUUUUUUUAUCUGAAUAUUAUUGAAUUUUUAAUGAUUUUUUAUUAUGUGUCUUUUAGUGAUAGUGUACGGAUAAGAUUUAAUUUCUUUUUACUUUUUUAUUUAUUAACAACCAGUCAGUGAUUGAGUUAUUUGCUCAUGACAUGAUCAAAUCAUAAAAAAAUCUUGAUCCAAAAAGAAAAUAGAUUAAAAUGUGCAACAUGUUUACAUCCUGCAUCACUUGGGAAGGUUGUAAGUCAUGAGCUCAUAAUUUGUGAUCCCCUUUGAGUCUAUUAGGAUUCUUUUCGGGUGGGCUUGGGCAGUACCAAAAGAAAGAAAUCCAAAGGGUAAAGGAGACAAUAUCUUGUUAGUGGAUCGGCCGUUACAUUAGAAUAGAUUGAGUUACAAGUGGGAUGAUGUUAUUCUUUUUUUUUUUAAUUAAUAUUAUUUAUUUUAGAAUUUCCCUUAUUACACAAUAAAUAUUUUUUCUCCUCCCUCAGGAUCUCAAUAGACUAACUGACCACGUCUUACAUCUCUCUUUCUUUUCUUUUUCUUUUUUUUAAAUUGAUUCGCAAUUUGAAUGAAAUGUUAACUCACAGUCAAAUCCCCAACUAAAAUUAAACAAAAUCUUAUAAAAUCACAAGAAGUAAGGUCAAUAUCAUUAAUAACAACAAAAUCCAUCACUUGUUCAUAAAAUUUAAUAAAACUCAAUAUUGAAACUCGUCAUAUGUUGAUGGAUUUAUGUACCUGUUGUCGAUGAAGAUAGAUCGUAGAGGUGAUAAUUAUACUAGAGAGAGAGAGAGAGAGACGGGGUGGGGAGAGACGGAAAAAAUAAAAUAAAAAUUAUUAUUUUUUAAUUAAGAAUGAUUCAGAAAUAUUAUAAAAUAAAUUAAAAAGUGGUGGCCGGUAAUAUCGUUUGAGAAGGUAAAAUAUUAUUACUCUUAUCUCUUGACUUGCCAUUGCUUGGUCUUUUUUUUUUUUUUCCUUCUUUCAAAAUGGACUUAUCGUUACAUUAGGAGAAAUUAAAGAGUCGGACGAUUGGCUCCUCCCUAAAAAUCCUAAUAAAACACCUUUUUCAAAAGAACCCCAUUAAUUAAACUAAAAGAAUUCAUUAUUUAUAACGAUACAUGCAUUCUUCCAAAAUUACCCUUAAUUUAAUCUCUUUAAAUUUGGCUUAUUUAUGUAUGAAUAUAUAUUUUUUGAAAUAAUUACUUCUUUAACAGAAAAAAUUACAAGAGACCUACCAUUUUGGAAGGGCAUCCUCCAACAUUUGAUCAAGGCCCCCGCUGCUAUAAUAGCCAUCACCAUCAUCUUAUUUUGCGCCUGUAAAAGCUUUACAAUCAGCAAUUAAACCGUAUAAACAAACAGUUGAGGUUUCAUUUUCAAUACCAUCCAUACGGAACAAGAUUCCCACAGCCUCAAAUACGAAUGGGGUUUUGGCCAAUUAGACUGAAUAGCUGCUGAGCAAAUAUGUAUAUAUAAACAUAAGGAUCAAAGUUGUGGUGUUGAAAAUGACCCAAGAUCCUUGCGUGUUCAUUAAAGGAUGCGUACUCGAAAGAGAUUGAAAUAGGGAUAGUUUUAGAAGAAGAUCAGUUUCCUCAUAAAUAAUGAAUUCUGUUUUAUCUGUUAAAGAGGUUCUUUCAUAAAGAGGGUUUUAUCAGGACUUUAUUGGGGUGUUGUUAGUAGCUCAACCCUAAAUUGAAUUAAUGGGCUGGCAAACCUAAAAGGUAUUUGACUAACCCCCUAAUCUCCUCAUGAAGCUCCAUUUUUAAUUAUAUUUAUUUUAUUUUUGAAAAUAAAUUUAAUUUUUAUUUAAUUUUUUUAUUGUUAAAACUUAAAAUAGUAUUGUAUUAUUUUUUUCAUUUCUUUUGUAAUCUUAUUGUUACUCGACAUACAAACUGAAAAGUUUUCUAGUUUAUGAAUUUUUGGAUGUUAAUUAUUAGCUUAAAUAGCACAUAUAUUUAGACUGUAGUUUGAAAGUAAUGUUAAGUACAAAAAUAUUUAAUUAAUAAGAAAUAGAAAAAAAAAAAAAAAAAAGCGAUUGAUCAUGAAUGUGAGUAUUUUGUUAAAAAAAAAAAAUUCCAUGUGUUGACUUCUUAUUUGUUCUUAACUAUAAUUUUAUUUGAAGUAGGGUUUUAUAAGAAUAAUGAAGGGGUGCCAAUAGCUUCACUCAAUGGUAUUUAUCCUACUCAACUUAUUUCACUAGCCCCACUAUCUAAUUUGUUUCUAAACCUACCCUGUAUCAAAAAAUAAAUAUAGUAGAAUCUCAUUAAAUUAAUAAUUGAUAGAUUGAUAACCUUGAUUAAAUAAUAGUUUUUCAAUUUUGACUUGGGAGCAAUGUGGUAAAUUAAUAAUUCGAUAAAUUUAUUAGAUAAUAAAAAAAUUUUUAAAAAUAUUAUCAAUUAAUUCAUAAAUUAAUAUUAACUAAUUUAAAACUAAAUGCAUAUUUAAUAUGUCUAUGAUUUUCUUUGUUGUACUAUUAUAAUGCUUUAUGCAUUUCAUCUGUCACAAUUGCUUUUUUUUUUUAUAUACUUUUCAAAUAAAAAGUCAUUGUUGUAUUCUAUAUGCUACGUCAAGAGAAAUAAGAGAGAUGGCUUAAUAUAUUGCCUUCAAAUGUCUUCUUUGAUGAGUUACCAUGUAGUUGUGAUCUAACCAUACAAUCUAACCAAAAGAUUAUCACAGGACUAGUUCACUCAAUCAAGAACAAAUAAAAACUAUAUUAUAUAACUUGACGAAAUCACUAUAUUCUCUAAUUAUACUACAUUUACACUUCAUAAAAACUCCUAUUAUGAAUUGUUAUUAUCUUUAUAAAUUAAUGGUUAUUAAUUUAUCAAUGUAUUAAUAUUUACUAAAUUAAUAUAUUUUAAAUGAUCCAAAAGCUGUUAAUUUAUCAAGGUCAUACUAUCAUGUGCUUUAUAUAUAUAUAUAUAUAUUUUUUCUCAAGUAUCACCAGCUAUUUAUUUCCAUUGUGGAAGUUUCGGUAACAGUGGUGGGAGAAGGUGGUUGGAAUUUGUGAAACUGUUUUUGUGUUUUUUGUUUUAAUGAAUUUUUAUUUUCUAAUAAAGAUAAUUAUAUAAAGGGAGAUUGCCAAUUUCCCCCCUACAGUAAUUAACAUAUACUAUUUACUCCCCUUCUUUUUUUAUAAUGGCCAAAAUUCCCACUGACAGUAUAAGUUUACAAUAUUAUCCUUAUUUUUAAUUACUCUUUUAUUUAUAUUUAUUAUAAAUUAAAUAAAUUACAUGAAUAGAAAUUAAAUAAAAAAUUAAGCAUUAAAAAAAUAUAUAUGUUUUGAUAUGAGAAAAAAAUUAAUAAUAAAUUUUUUUUCUUGUACUUAUUUAUUUUGUGAAAAUUUUCUUAUAAUAAAUGUAUAAGAAAGUUAUUAUAAAAUGAUUAAAAAAUUAUUAUAAGAAAAUUUGAAUGACAAAUAAAAAUUUAUUAUAAGAUAAAUAAUAAAAUAUUUUGCCUAUACUUUUUAAAUUUAAUUUUAAAAUAUUACAAAAUUUUUAUUAUAAAAAAUGUUCACAAAAUAAAUAAUUACAAGAAAAAAAACUUAUUAUUAAUUUUUUUGCUCAUAUCAAAACAUAUAUUUCUUGUUUUUAAUACUUAAUUUUUUUAUUUAGUUUCUAUUCAUGUAAUUUAUUUAAUUUAUAAUAAAUGUAAAUAAAAGAGUAAUUAAAAAUAAGGAUAAUAUUGCAAACUUAUGCUGUCAGGGGAGUUUUUGGCCAUUAUAAAAACAUCAGGGGAGUAAAUGAUAUAUGUUAAUUACUGUAGAGGAAAAAAUGGCAAUCCCCUUGUAUAAAUAACUGCAGUUAAUUGAAAAGUGGGGAUUAAUAAGAAAAAUUAAGAGAUUUAGAUAGCAUUGCUAUUUAAACAAAAAAAAAAAGAAAAAGAAAUUAAACAGAAAGAAGAAAUAAUUAACCAUCCCCGCUUUAAGUAUCCUUGAAUACCCUUGAAUAUCUUUCGCAUAUUUCGGGUUAAGUAUUUUACUUCACGUGAAAGUGUGAUUGGGCUUGGACAGAAAUCCAUUUUAAAUGCAAAUUACCCCUCUAAUUAAAUAAGAAGUGCUUCAGUACGCUCUUCAAAACAAAUAAUACCAUAAGCAAUUAAUUCUAAGCGUAUAUCAAAUCCACGGAAGCAGUAAUUCGCUAUGAACAUUCCCAACAUAAUUAAUUGGCUUCAAGUGACAAGCAUAAAGCCAGAAUCAGUGAUCAUUCUCGGAUAUACAAGAAAAGAAUGCCAUGUAAUGUACUGAUAAACACAUAAAUGUCAUGAUGAGGGUACGUCUACGGGGUUGUGGGCUUCAAUAUCCACGUGCCGUAUGCCAGGAACGAGGUCCUGGAUCUCCUUCUCUAGUCUAUCAACUUCAGUUCCUAAAGCUGUAACAACUUCCUCGCCUGCACCAAGAACUCGAUGUUUAAAACAUUCCAAGCACAAUUCAAGUUAUACAACAAACUGCAUGCAUACCAUAGUUUGACAUGAUUUUAAGCAAGGCUGCGUCGUCCUUCUCCUUUGCAGCUUCACGAAACUGUCAUCGGAGCCAGUCGGACAGAUAGAAAUAGUUAAUGAUAUUAACUUGUGAAGUAUGGCAUGUGUCAAUUCAACAAGGGAGUUGGAAGUAAAAUAUAUGCACGUAAUGAAUUUGUAAGCGUUAGGACUCGCAAAGUUAAUAGUUACCAAAACAUUGGACUGUAUCAGUUUCUAAUAUGCAUGUGAUACAUUUCAAAAUAAGAAUGUGAAGUAAUAUAAAGUACAGACUAAGAUGAUUAACCUGUUUGGCCCAAGCUUCACGUCCGGUUCUCUUUAGAUAAUUCUGUACAACCAUCACUCCGUUGAAAUCUGUUUCAAUUCAGCCAAACAUAAUCGUAUCAUAUUAAUACACCACUAAUGCCAAAUUAAUUCACAUUAAUGAAACUAAAUUUCAUGAGUGGCAUAGCUGAAUAAUGCCUGCUUCUUUCCACUUUCAAUACAUGAUUAAAAUGAUUUCUUAUCAUUACACAUAAAGUUUGCAUCUAUGUAGGCAAUUAAUCAUCACAAAUAUAUGCUGUGUACUCCAUAUUAUCUAUAUGAAUUUACAAAUGCCAAAGCAGCUCAUAUGGAUUGUAAACUAAGAAUAUUAUCAGAGAAAUUCACACCUCUUUACAGAAACAACAAGCUACUACUCUUGCAAAGAUUUCUACAAAAAUGUAGAUACCAAAUGUAACAGAGACGACAUGUUGUUGACAAUAAUCAGAUAUUGAUGUUGACAGAAAUUAACUCUCUGACAAAUCAGCAAAAGUACGAGCUAACACAGGGAAGAUUGGAAACAUUGACAGAUAUAUUGAUUUUAGAAGGAAAUUCAGGAAACGAAGUUCCAAGAAAAAUAAAAUUGCAGUAGGACAUGGCAAGAAAAAUCACCUAUCUCUGCCUUGAAUCUAAAGAAUCCCGGUCCAAUCACCUCGCUUUUGCAAUCAUAUAGAGCAUCUACAACCUGCCAAAAUUUUAGAUUUUCAAACAUGGGAAUAAUGCACAGAACAAAUGUAGUCGUAGACUUAUCUUACAUGAACAUACCGGAUCAUUUUUCAAGAAAUGGAGAAUCUUCUCCAUAUCAUGGUCAUCCAUAGCCCUACCAAUCAAAGCAUGACGAUUCCUUUGUAUUAGAAAUAUAGCCACCUGCAUAGGAGAUACAGUUCAUUACCUAUAACAAUAGUCAAAAUUUUAUUAGUUGUUCUCUUGUCAAUAUAAUAUACUAAACAGCGAUAAGAACAGUCAAAUCUGAUGACAGUUCCAAGAUAAGCCUGACCAUCAGAUAUUAUUGAUAAAAGAACAGUAAUUUCUGCAUGGCCAAUUCAUUAUUUAGAGCAUCAUUCAAAGUGCAGCAAGCAAUCUUGCUUUUGCCACUAUUCCUCCUCUUCUACUCUAACUAAUAAUACAAAACAAGCCAUUUUCAUAUUUUCAUAUUCAAAAUUUCUAAUUUUAAUAGCCAUUGGGGCUUAAAUUUACAAUUAAACAGAUUCCUUCAACCAGCUCUUUUAAUCACACUUAUCACUUUCUGUAACAAUCUUAGUUACCAUUUUUGGGAGCCUAUCUCCAAAUUCAAAUAAUCAGUAAAUGUAUAAAUUCCAUAUUCAUACAGAUAUAAUUUUUUUUUUUCAAAAAUGCAUUUUAUAUUUUAAAGUUUUUUCUUUCGAGUUACCAUGCAGCCACCUGAUCUCACCGUAAAUUAAACUAAAUCCCUCUCCAAAGUUGGUGUGAGUAGGAUUCAAACUUUUCACCUCUUCAUUUCACUAACAGGCCACGAGGCCAAACUAGCUGGAGUGUUCCCUUGAGGACUUCGUACAGAUCUAUUCAUGAGAUCAAUAAAAACUAAAAACAUAAAUGAGCAGUAGAAAACGGAAUUGAGAAACAAGGAUCCUGUUUCAGUAAGAUUUGAACUUAAAAGCAACCCAAGCUGCCAAUCUUUCUGUAGCUUGAAGCAGCAUGGCUGAAUGGUGAGGUACCAUAUGACAAAGCAUACAUAAGUCAUCAUAUAGCAUUCUCUAUUUUUGAAUUGUCAAUUCUUUGAAAUUGGGUACCUAUUUAAAGCUUGGAAGAAGUUGGUUGAAACUUAACAAAAGAACCCUUUCCUUUAAGGGUUGAUAAUACAUUUUCAGAAAGGUCCAAGAUGUCUCAGCUGAUGCCAUUUUCUCAUUGAUUUCUGAGUGACAGAACUAUAAUGCAUGUCUCAGAGAACCAAUUACUUUUAGAAAGUGCCUUUUCCUUGCUCCAAAUGGUAAAAUAAGAGCACAUUAGAAGUUCACAUGAUACAAUAAAACUUCUCUAUAGUAAUACUCUGUAUAAGAAUAACCUUCAUAUAGUCAUAAAAAAUUAUUAUCCCGAUUUGGGCCAGUUAUAAAAAAAAAUAAAGUCCACAUUGUAAUAAGUUACAAUUUUCUAAAUCCUAUUCUAAGGACAUUACCUCUAUAUAGUAAUAAUUAACUGAAUAUUCUAAAAAUAUAUAUACUAUACAACAUUAGAGGUUUUAGAUGGAAAAAAAAAAAAAAACUUUCUAAAGUUGUUAAGGGCAAUAUUUAUUUAGAUUCUUAAGAUUAUUUUGCAUAUUUUCCAGCAUUACAGAAAUUUUAUGUACUAGUAUUUUGAAAUUAUGUCUCCCUCUUUUAUCAAAGUCUAUAAAUUGGAUUUGACAUGCCCAUUAACUAUAUUAUCAAUAUAGUGUGUGUUUUACCUCUAUAUCACUUACACUAAGGAUAAAUGAGUCAAAAUAAUAAUUUUUGUAACUACACCUCUGUUAAGUUAUAACCUCAUAGUAAUAAAUUAGUUUGGUCCCAACAUUGCGACUACAAAGAGCUUUUACCGUACUAUCAUGUGGAGAUUUCCAACCUCGGGACUUUCUAAUGCAUGUAUAAGUGAAUUAAUUAUUUUGGAAAAAAAUAAUACCAUUCCAAGAAGGUUUCCAACUAUAAUUGAACCAAUUGGGUCAUAAAUUGCAUUUCCUGUGACAUUAACUGCAAUCAAUGAUGCUCCAGCUAUAACAAGGCCGGUAACUGCAGCACCAUCCUGCAUAACAGAAAUCAUUUAUUAGGGGUCCCAGACAAGGAGAAUAGUUGCAAUGUAUAUAUAGUAUCAGACAUAACUAGAGAACAAAUUAUCAGCAAUCAACCAAAAUAUAUUUUUUUUAAUUUGAAUUGCAAUAUGUAGUUAAUUGCAGUAAAGAUGAUUAGGGACAUACACGGCUAUACAAAGAUUCACAAACAAUGUGCACACACAUGGUAGGAGGAUGAAUUGUGUACAAUUGCUUAUCUAAACUAACAGUGAAGAAUACACAAUAAAUACCUCUGUCAUAACAGCAACAGAUGUAGGGUCAUGACCACGCCAGAUAUAGUCUCUUAUUGUCAUACCUUCUGCAGCUGCUCCUUUCUUGACAGCUUGUAUCGCAACAACAAGAGAAGCACCUGUAGGAAAGUAUAACGAACUUAAAUCAGGAAAAGACGAAGAUCAAAAGGUAAAAACUAGCCUCUUCAGACCAUGUUGUUAACCUAAAAUCACAGUCUGUGAGCUAUACCUUCAAUGAUAAAUGAACCACAAAUCACCAAAGCUGCAUAUUUCAUAUUUUCAGGAGCCUGUAGAAAAAACACGCAAAACUAUAUAAAUAUGCGUAUGUUAAGGUACCACAGAAUAUUUAGAAUUUUGGAUGACAUAAUUUGUUUCAUUACCUCUGCAGUCCACAAGUGUUGAAUUCCAUUGACAAUUGUAGCACCAGAACCAAGACAAAAGAUCCCGACAGCUGAUAUCAAAGACCAAACAAAUCGUUCCUUGGAAUAGCCAUAACUGUACAAUUGGGGGGAAAAAAAAGUAAAUCAAUUCAGUGCAUUCUUAUAACAAAAAUAACACCUACGUCUUCACUCUAAACAUGAAUGAAAAUUUCUGUCUCCAUGGAGUAAAGUUUAAAAAAUAGAAAGCACUAGUGUCCUUUGGCUAACGUACUCAAAAAAAAAAAAAACAAAUUGCAAAACAUAUGUAGCCUGAAAUCCAGAAACAAAUUUAUACAUGAGAUGAAGUGCUGAAAGAUUGAAAAACAAGGAAAAUGCAGGCGAUUUAUUGUAAAUGAUGAUGGCUUAUGAUGUAGAAAACUUACGGAUGAAGAGCAUCAGGUGCACGCCUGGAGCUACUCAGACCAUAAGCUAGAAGCACCUGCAAUUUUAAUAAGAAUUAUUUUCUCUGCAAUGAGUAAUAUAUGAGUUGAUUUAAUUUAAAGGAAGAAAGAAAACACGUGCAUCUGCUAGCCUCGUUCCGAAGAACCUUCAAGACAAGUACCUGAUUAGCAAAGUCCGCAACCGAAUGCACAACUUCAGCCAGCAUAACAUGGCUAGAGGUCCCUAGCCAGACCCCAAACUUGAGAGAGAAGACAAGGAAAUUGCCCCACAAUGCAGUCGUAACCGCUCUUUGACUAUAUACAGAUUUGAGGAGACGAUAAUAGCAAGAAACAAAUCAGAUAAGUUUUAAGGAAAAAAAGAGGACAAAUAUAACAGUAUUCAGCACAUUCAUGUUAGUAAUACAUGGCAGUAAAAUAUAAUACAGGAUAGCAAAAGAGAAGCACCAGCCAUCUUGUGUAUACAACCAGAUCAGAUUGAUCAUAACCAUGUUCAAUGUUAGUAAUUUAUUUCUUCUUGCAAUUAUUAGGAUGGUCUUUUUUCCAGUUAGUUUCUUUAAAUAAAUAUAUCAUUUCAAUCGGUCAUUGUCUGGUAGACAAACAAUACCAAAGAUUAAAUUAUUGUUUAAGUUCUCAACUAAACCUGUUUAUCCUCUUAUCACCUAUUUCCCAGUAACAUAACAAACACAGGAAUACUUACAAACAACCAAAUUUACUCUAAUAGUAUUUGAACCAUGAUGUUCUAUGGCAUAACAAGAUUAAACAGUGAUGCAUAAAAAAGGCACGGACUAAGCAUCAGCAUCCACAGAAAUUGACAUUAUCAACACUUGUUGGUACAAGCACAGGUUCCAAUUCUUGUCAGAGUGCAUGCAUCUCAAAUCAAUUGGCUAAAGAUUAAUCAGAAAACUAAACAAUAGGAGGAUCCCAAUCCCUUCUUUUCCCAUGCUAGAGUUGUAAAAGAUGCAUUUUUCAAGUCUUAUUCAACUAUAAAAAUGCCCACCAGAUGCAUUUUCCAAGUCUCAUUCAACUAUAAAAAUGCCCGCCUUUUACCAAAUUAGGAAUGAAAGCAGGCUCUAUCAAAUGCCUCGUUCUUCAAGAUACUAUUUGAUUGGAAAAAUUCCUCAAACACACAUUUCCUACAGUUCUACCAGCAUUUUUAUUGUGAAGAAUAACGUCAUUAACAAAGACACUCGGUACUGUUCCUAUUGCAGAAUGCAUCCAUGAAGAGAACUUUUUCUUUCUUUAGACGAAUACCACUUUUACAAGGUUGUUUACACAGUAAUGUGCUGAAUGAUUUGCAUCUAUAAUGUUAGUUGUCACAACAUUCUAUCUAGAUGAUUGCAACAAAUCAAUUGCCAAUUGAUAAAAAGGUCAAUAGAAAAGUAGUUUAUCAGACUCCUUUGCCAAAUUAACAAAUGUGCCUAUUACUCUUAUCUCCCUCCUUUUUUUCUCUUCAUAUUUGAACGUUAAACAUUAUCAUGCUUCUGAGAAUUUCAUUUCCAAAAGGAAAAAGUUUAAAAUAAAUAAAUAAAUAAAAAAACUUAUCAUCACUCAUUUCAACUACAUUUACCAUGUCCAUACUUGUUUCCCAAUUAUAACCAAUUAGCGCACUUCAUAAACCUGAGUGCUACUAACGCCACCACAACAUUGAAACACACUGGAGCUUAAAUAUCAUUCUACAAUCCUUUAACUAUCAACGUGGACUUUUGAAAGAGUGGGAAAUCAAUCAUCUCAUAACACCCAAUACUAUUGCCAAAUUAUAAAUUUAUGCCCGUAUUCACAAAAAAGGAAAAUAAAUGCUCGAAGAAACAACACAUUUAGGCGACAGCUUCAAAAAUUUUACCUGUGUUCAUCUGUAGUCUCAAUCUUCUUCACCUGCUUUGCCCUCGUAAAAAAAUCUAUAAUAAUUAAAAAAAAAAAAGCACACAUACACACACAAACACACACACAAAGUUAGGCCCCAAUUCACAUUUAAAUCCCAAAAGAAAACAAACAGGCAAAAACAAAAUACUUACUGCGAUUAGAGGAGUACUUAUGAUGUUGAUUACUACCGCUAUUGUCAAAAGAAACCAAACCCAGUAGAACGAAACGUUUCGAGCAAUGAACCGAGCAAAAACCUCGAAACUGAUUAGUAUGCUCUAAAAUGCUAAAGAAUUUUCCAUUGUUAUCAUUUAUAAAUACAUUAAAGGGAGAAGAAGGGUUUAAAACGGCAGUGCGUUUAGAGGAGUGGAGGAGGCGAGAGAGGAAACGCCAAGAUGUUCGCAUCAAAUCUAAAUCUUUUCUUUCUUUCUUUUUUUUGGCUUAAUUAAGAGAAAUUCUGAUAUUGUUCUAAAUUCCCCCAAAAUGUUCGAGAUGUUAAGUACCCACAUUCAUAUCGAGGGUUGAAAUGGAGUUGGUAUAAAGAAAGCUCAAAGAUGAAAGGGAUUCUUGACUUGAUAGCAGUAGCAGCAGCAGCAGCAGCAUAUUCCGUCUUCUAAAGAAGAAAAGAAGGUGACUGUCUGCGACUGAAUAUUGGGAAUGAGAAAGUAAAGCAGGGACAGUGGCAGCGGGUGGUGGAUGCAAAAAUUUAGCCCAAGUUAUUUUUGUAGCCCAAAUAGCCAAUUCACUUUUUUGGACUACGGGCUAAAUAAAAUUUACCCAAAUCAUAUAUAUUUUCUAAAUUUAUGUAAGAUUUCAAUAGAAUAUAAACAAAUUUUCUAAUCUCAAUAUUUAAUUAAUUAGGGUCAUUAAUCCAUAGAUUUCUUCAACUCCAAGUAAGAAGUACUUGUACCUUUUAGGCUUUUAGCUCAAUUCUUCAUAAUCGCUAGUAGGGACUAAAAUAUUAAAUUAUAAUCCUCGGAAGCUUAGGAUGGAUAAACCAAACAGUACUCUUCUCAACCGGUAGCAAACUAACCCUAAUUAAAUCACAUUUUUAUUUAUCUGAGGUAAUAGAAUUGUCUGGUAGGAAUUUAUGACGUGCAGUUUCGUUUUAAAACAACUACCUAAUUGUUUGUCAUUUUUGCAAACUAAAUACACACAUGAAUGAGGUGACAUAUAAGAUAUCCAAUAAAAAAAUUUAUAGUUCUUUUACAAAAUAAUAAUAAUAAUAAUAAAUAAUAAUAAUAAUAAUAAUAAUAAUAAUAAUAAUAAUAAUAAUAAUAAUAAUAAUAAUAAUAAUAAUAAUAAUAAUAAUAAUAAUAAUAAUAAUAAUAAUAAUAAUAAUAAUAAUAAUAAUAAUAAUAAUAAUAAUAAUAAUAAUAAUAAUAAUAAUAAUAAUAAUAAUAAUAAUAAUAAUAAUAAUAAUAAUAAUAAUAAUAAUAAUAAUAAUAAUAAUAAUAAUAAUAAUAAUAAUAAUAAUAAUAAUAAUAAUAAUAAUAAUAAUAAUAAUAAUAAUAAUAAUAAUAAUAAUAAUAAUAAUAAUAAUAAUAAUAAUAAUAAUAAUAAUAAUAAUAAUAAUAAUAAUAAUAAUAAUAAUAAUAAUAAUAAUAAUAAUAAUAAUAAUAAUAAUAAUAAUAAUAAUAAUAAUAAUAAUAAUAAUAAUAAUAAUAAUAAUAAUAAUAAUAAUAAUAAUAAUAAUAAUAAUAAUAAUAAUAAUAAUAAUAAUAAUAAGAGUAAUUAUUAAGAGUGGUGAUAUUUGACCUCCUCAAUUUAUCUCAUCAGUCCUCAUUUUUCAAUUAAUAUUAUUUAUUUUAUAAUUGGCCUUACUAAAAAAAAUAUCUAUUAUUUCUUCUCUCAAGUUCUCCAUUGAUUCACAAUUUGAAUCAAACGCUAACUCAUAAUCAAAUCCCAAAUAGAAAAUUAAACAAAAUCUUAAAUUUCUAUACAAAAUCAUAACCAAUAUUAGUAAUAAUAACAAAACCUACCACUUAUUCAUAAAUUUUAAUAAAAUCCAAUGAUGAAACUCAUCGUAUACUAGUAAAGGUGAUGUAUUAAUAGUGAAGAAGGUAGGCGGUGAUGGCAACUUCUUGUUGAUCAAGUGUUGGGGGUGAUGGACCGAUGGUUAUGCACUUAUACUAGAGAAGGACGGGGUUUGGGGGGAGGUAGAGAGAGAAUAAAAUAAAAUAAUAACUUUGAUUUAUUAAGGAUAAUUUUAAAAAGUAAUAAGAUAAAUUGAAAAGUGGAGGUUAAUCAGAUAAUUUGAAACGCUCAAAUAUAUUCACUUGAUAUUAAUAACUUUCUCAAAAUAAAGGAUGGUAGAAAAAUUCAGUCCGAACUUUAGUAUUUCGGGCCGGAUUUGGCCUCAUAACUCGAGCAUGUUUUCUUAACACUAGAUUCGAGCUUGAACUUUACCUAAACAACCCAACCAUGGCCCGAAGGCUGAAGAAAUUCUUAAAAAAUUAUUUUAAUUACAAUACACCUUUUAAAAUAUAUUUAACCCAUCUAUAUAGCAUAUAUUUUAAGUACUUUAAUCCCAAUUUUUAAAACCUAAUCUAACAAAAAGAAAAAUUUUUAUAAACUGUAAGUUUGUAAAAUUUAAUUAAAAAAAUAGAAAAAAAAGUAGAAUAUAAAUUUCGGACUUUUUAGCUCGAUGCAAAGAAAAUCCAAUUUGAAUCGAGGUCGACCUGACAUGGCUGCCAUCCCUACUCAAAAUCCUAAAUGCUCCAAUUUCCAUACCGCAGUCUCCAUUUAACCUCGUUUAUCUUCUUAUUCAUUCGUGUUAGAUAUGUGAAGAAACCCCAAGGCAAGGGCCGUCCAGGACCAAAACCGCUGCCUAUAUUACGAGGCAACCUGCACUAGUUGACUGAUGGGUUAACCAGUUACCACAUCAUGUGUUCUUAUAAAAUUAAUCAACCAAUAUGGUCCUAUCAUUUAACCAACAGCUUGUAAACAUGUGAGAUUAGCGAAAUAUGAAAUAAAAGCUAACGCCAAAAUCAUCACCAAUGAUUAUGCAAUGGGGGGAGAAUCCUGAAUGUUUUAAAAAUCAGAGCAUUUCGAAGGUUCUUUUAUUUUCUAUUGCCUUUAAAAAGGCAACCACUUUGAGAUGCGUCCAUGUGGCUCAGGAAGAAGGAUAUGUCCUGGGAUAUCAUUUGCUAGCGCAAGUAUCGAGCUUGUCCCUGCUCAUUUGUGUCAUUUCCAGGCAAGAUUGAACCUAAAGAGCUUGAUAUGAUAGCGAACAACGGGGACCAAAAAUCUGCUUGCUAUUGCUACGCCUCGCAAUAUCAGUAAUAAGACCAAAGAUAAACUUUACAACACUGCAUUAUCAGAAAACUAGAAUGGUAAACCAUGUAUCAUUAAUUCAAGCUUUAGCAGUGACUUGCAAGGAGGUGAUGAAAAAGCUCAAGGCAUCUCAAAUAUUCUUAACAAAAAGUUACAGAUUGGUAUCACCUCGCUGUUUAAUAACAGGUUGGGUCAGAACUCAAAACCCAUAUUCCUGUGAAAUAAUAAUAACAGUUGGCAAUAUCUAUAUACUCUAUGCUACAUAUCAAUCACCUUAAGUUCUAUUCAACAUUUUUAUCAUAGGGUACAACAUUUCCUAUCAGCUGAAGCAGAGAGAAUCUGUUAAAGUCGCAUAGUUUGCCGAAAAGGGAACAGCAGAAUUCAUCAGGCUCUGGAUCUGAUUUCGAGUACACCAACUUUCUAACUCUCUCUGGCUCUUCAUCUGAUCAGAGCCUGGAAUUAUCAAAUUUGUUCAACCAAAAAUAGAUAACAGCUAAUGAAUCCUGAUAUCAUCAAUGAAUCGACCUCCCUUUCUACCACGUAACCUGAUAUUUGGUCUAUGCUGGCCAUCCGAUCUCCCAGAGAUCUCUCCAUCAUGUUGGGUCACAAUUUUUAAUGGGUGGGCUUCUGUAUUGAAAACCCACUCAUCUAAUGAGAUCACUGUUGUGGGAGAGAAAAGAAGAUACAGAUAUUUCAGUGUCUCUGCAAGAAAGAAGCUUUGCAUCAUGUUGUCUUUGUCGCCAGUAUUAACCUGAGAAAACACAACAAUCAUUCAUAAAUAAAUAAGAGCACAUUAGCAGUAUAAAUAAGAGCACAUUAACAAAUCCACCGGCAAGGAUAGAUAUGCAGAAGAAAUAGAAAAAUAUACAACAGAAGAUUGAAUAACCAAAACAUUUAAAAACAUUUUCACCGUUUUUUACCAAAUGUUGGCUCAUAAAUGACCUUAUAGAUUGUCCCAAGAUUUAGCUAAGUGUCUGCCAAUGGCAAUUGCUUUUGUGUAUAGUUAGCAGACUAUGCUCACUAAUGCAAACAACUAUUUAAAACAAAAGAUCAAACAUUCUUUACUACUGAGGUUUAACCGUCAAAGAUACUAAGAGAAGUGCAUUUUCUAAAAAAGCAUCCCUAAGUUUUGUAUCACGUCAGCUUUUUCAUGAAAACAUACUGAAGCAUAUUUAUAGAAAAAUAUCUUAUUUAAUGUUGGAGGUUUGAGGUGUCCUUACAUCUUUCAGUCCAACAUAUCCUGAUUCUAUUCGCGAGUUCUUUUCGAAUGCCUGAAAUAUGUUCCAACCCCACUCUUUGUAUGUCUUGUUGCCAGUUAGACGCCACAAGUAAAAAAGUGAUUCAACAGUCUCAGGUCGCAGUAUGUUCCAUGAUGUGCCCACAGACAUGUCCUGAAAAUGUAACAAAUGAACACUGGUAAACAGCAGUACCUUAAAAAUUGAAAAUUCAUUUGAUAAUACAAAAACUACAAACCUGCCCAUCACGAAAGAAGUAAUUCUCUCCAGCCAAUUUUGUCGGUGUUGACUGGUAGAAGUUAUAACAUGUCCAAGCAAGCUGCAAAAAAAGACAGAAACAUCCAGUGAAAAACCCAUCUCACAUCAUCCUUGGUUUUGAUAUGGGAAAGAAGGAACAUGCACUAGAAGCUAAUGAAUGGUUAGGUCAGCAAUCCAAAUUAAAUUACAUUUCAAAUUAAAAAUUUUGGUUCUGGUUUAUUCCUUUAACUAGUGGCCUACUAGGAAAAGAAAAGAUUAACCAAGUAUGAGAUUCAUACAAAACCAUCUCGGUCUUAUACCCCAAACAAAUCAGAUCAUCUCCCAACUUCCAUAUGUAUCUGGUAAAUCUUGCAUUCAAUCAGAGAUUUGUUAAUAUUUUUCUCUUUCCUCCUCAACCCAAAUUAAAAAUCUCUCCUUGGAAUUGAACACUUGACCUUUUGCUUCCCAUGUCAGAGGCCAAACCAAUCGGCAAUAAGAGACAUACACCAACAGACACACAUAUUUUAUGUCCUUCUAUCAUUUUUUUAUUAAGAAACAGAAACUUGAAUUAUAUUCUAAACAAUGUGAGGUUUACAAAAAAGUGAACAAGCAGUCAAAAAAACCAGGAUCAGCCUGGCAGAACCUCAAAAUCUAUUUACAAAGAACCUUUCCACUCAAGCCAAAGAUAAAACACUCUUGACUAUAAAAAUCAAGACGAUAUUCGACUUAGCCCAAAACACUUCCCAAUUUGAACUUAUGUAAAAGAAAAACGGGUCCUAAAAUUCUUGUCCGUGAUGCCCAAAGAAAAAAAGCACCCUAAAUUAUUGCCUUAUCCCAUAAAACAGUUAACCAUCUUCCCCAGCCAAGCUUUCAAAAUCAUCUUUUUUCCCCCGUGUUUCUAGAAAUUCCUUUGACUUCAAUAACCUAUCAGUCUUAGUAGACAAUUUGGUACCCCAGAUGCUUCGUCCAAACAAAAUUCAGGUAUUUAUGAUCAGAACUUCAUUCAAUUUUGAAAAUCUUCCCUAGAGCUUUCAAAAAUUUGUCCAUUUCUUUCUUGAAAUUCCUUUGAAAUGUUUAACAACCUAUCAGUUUCAAAGUCAUGGGUAAUUUGGUAAUCCCAGAUGAUUCUUGCCAAACAAAAUUCAUAUAUAUGUGAUCGAAACUUCAUUCAAUUUCAAAAAUCAUGUCAUACGGUAACUUAAAAGGGUACCUUAAAAUUGGAGGUGAAGACAUUGCAUUAUUCAUCACAACUUAUAUGAGUUCACAAAACAAUGUUCUUUUUUCUUGUUCUUGCACAAAAUUUGGGUAUUAAGAUAUUUUCCGAAGUGAGACAGAAGGAAUACCUCUUCUGCAAGAGAGAGAAAUUUCUCAGAAUCACCGGGUCCAUAACCAGAAGAUCCUAAAGCAAUCAUUCCAGGAGCAAAGCAUGCUAAUUCAUCCAUCUGCAUAGGCAUGGUGUCAAAAUAGCCAUCAAUAUCUAGCAAUUACUAAUGCAUCCCUACAGUAGUGUAACUGAGUAUUACCUUGUCUAUCAGCGAGUCCCCAUUCUUCUCACAAACGUAUGUAAAAGACGAUGGUGUUGAUUUCCUAACCAAGCUUAAUAGACCUUUCAUUGAUGUCUCCCACAUGUCCCUGCUUGAAAGAUUCCACAACAAAACUUUGACAUCAAGAAAUUUAUGAGCACAGACACCUGGAUACUAGAGAGAGAAAAAGGUUGAGUCUUGACCAGAGCACGAUUGCAGACACUUUAAAUAUUAAAACAUGAUAUCCAUCCUGCAUUAGUUGUCAUUUGUUCUUCUUUUUUUUCAGUCCCAGUAAUUUUCCACACUGAAAUGUGAAUUCUACCAGACUCAUUAUCCUAAACGUGUACCAUUGUAAAGAUUUUUUUUUUAACAUUUCAGAAUUAGAAAGUGGUAGCUACUAUUGGAAAAAUAAAAGUAUAUUGUAAUGCAUUUGUAACUGACUCCUUAAUUUGUUGGCUUUAUCUGAGAAGACAGCUAAAGUGUAUGGAGCUGAAUAUAUAUUCCUUUUCACCAAAAUCCCAGUGAAAAUAGAAUCAUUUAAUAUUUAAUCACAUUGACCAGUCCAGCCCCCAUCACAUCUAAAUUUUACAGUAGCAUGUUUGUCUUUGGCUUUCACAUAAGAAAAUAAACUGCAAACAGCAAGCAGCAGUGGUUGAGUGGUUGCAGAUCUGAAUGCAGAUACAUAUGAGAACAAAAUCUCCUCACCUAUAAGGCUUCACUGCUGAAGUUUUAUUCCCCUGAAUCCAAACUUUGAGUAAAUAUUCAUAAAAGCUGCAAUAAAAUUUCAUUGUUAACCAAAAACUCUUAACAAUCUUGCAAAAUUAUACUCCUUUACUGACCUUAAGAAGUGAAACUAGAAAGUAAAAGAGGUUAAAUCAUAGAUGAUGAAAUGUUAAACCCAACUAAGAUCACAUAAAUGAUAGUAAAUGUUCAAGCGGAGAAUACCUAUCACCCAUGGCACCAAAGGUUAUGGUCGAGUAUGAUGGAGUUCCCCUGUCAGGACUAAUAUAGAUGGGAAGCAGGCCAUCGGCAGGGAAUGUUUUAUUAAGCUCCACUAUUACUUUCUCAGCCUGAAACAUCAGUUUGCAACCAUCAACAGGAUCCAUUCACCCGAACAAAUCAUUCUUCAGAAAGAGAAGUGAACUAUUGACUGAUUACUCCCUGAACACUUUUGGUCUUCAAACUAACCUCUUAGUGCAUACGAAUAUGAAUAAUUAGCACUAAUUUGUAAGAUGUCAAACAUUAAGUGGCAAGUUCAAACACAAGAAUGAUGAAUAACAUAUUUCCACAUGCAUAAACACAAGAAGAUAAAAUACCUUCUGCCGAUACUUUGGGUCACCCGUCCUUUGUGAAAGAGCAAUCAAUUCUAGUUGUUCUGUACCAGAAUCUGCCAGAAUGCUCUCACCCUAUGAAAUGGGAAAUGACAGAAGAGCAAUCAAAUCAAAGAUACAUUCGUUAACAAAUGUGUGGGACAAAAGACCCAGCACAGCUCAAUAAGACACACAUGAGCUAUCACAAAGGAUAAAACAAUCUACUAAGAGACUAGUGUAAACUAUGUUAUGCAUGAUAAUGGAACAGGUUUACAACAAGAGUCCGUGGCAUUUACUUUUAGCAGUUAACUGUCAAAGCAACAGAAAAUGCUGAAAGAAUAGAUGGAAGAAACUUUUUGAAGAAAGACAGAAAGCUGUAAACUUGAGAAGAACCACAUUUAUUUUAAGCCAACCAAAUACCUGCUGAUCUAACAGCAGGCCAGGAGCUUCUGUUGGGAUAAAGGGAAACGUAAAUAAAAAGAGCAUAAUCAACUUAAAGGAUGCCAUGAAAUGUGACGAAUCAAGUUUAAAUAGUACAAAUAAAGUGAACGCUAGAAGUUAAAGCUAACAACUUACCCCUGUCCAUGAAGGGUUAUGUGGAUUUCCAUGUGCUAAGUUAAUAACAUUAUAGGGAAUUCCAGUGCGAGUAUUCCAUGCUGGCAACAAUCUAUCUGCAAUAUCUCUAGCUUUUUCAAGAAAAACUUUGUCUCCUGAAAGGUCAUAUGCACUAAGAAGUCCACCUACAACUCUAAAAUAUCAAAAAAGAAACAAGUCAGCAAAGGAACAUUACUUGUCCUUUCCCCAAGCAAUUAUAAAGAAAAGAAAACAGCAAUUGCCACUGACACUUGUUUCACAAAAUAAAAUCAACCAUGAAUUAAACCUGAUAACGCAACCUUAUGGUUGUCUCGAAAACACUAGCAUCAUAUGACUUGUUGAAAUCCAACGAGCUUGCAACCCACCUGCAAAAGAAUGGCAUUAAAAAAAUUAGAUAAGUGAGACUCAAAAUCUUGUGCUAAAGAAUGUGGAGGUUUUGAGUCCUCUUCAAGGCAUAAUAUUGAGAAUGCUCAUUCAAAUAUCACCAACCAUUGGUAUCCGGGAGACACAUUUAAUACUACAUAAACAUUAAGAGAUGAUGAAAAAACAGGGAGAAUUAUGCAUGGAGAAAGUGAGGGCAAAAAGAGAAUGAAAGAAAAGUGCCAGUAGGUCAAAUGAGGUUUGGAGUCGUGACACAAACUACAAAGCUAGAAAUACAAUAUAGGAAACACAUGAAGAAUAAUAUCUUCAAGCAUUAUGUACAACUUUUGAAAAUCAAACGCAUCCAAAAAACUUGCAAAAACAACCAGGAGUACGCAAGAGAACAUCUCAACUGGAUGACAAGAAACUACUAUCCUGUGAAAAAAUCGGGACAAAGUUCGAUUAAUUGGCUGGAUAAAUUGGGACAAACCAUUAACUCCUCAGAAGUGACUCAUAUAAGGCUGAGAGAAUUGUAGAACAUACCCAGGUUCAAAGGGACUCAAAUUUCAAAAUUGAGGCCACAUAAUGAAGUCAAUCAACUCAUUCGCACAUACACUAAUUUUAAAAGUAUGAUAGAUGCUUUGCUCAAGAAACUAUCUUGAAUAGAGUCACUUAACCAGGGCAAUAGUAAGAGAAUAGACAGACUUUUUGCAAUUUAAAUUGCAUGGAAUUCAACUUUCCUAAUGUAUAUAUCCUGAUCUCCAAUGAAUAAAAUAAGUUCAUAAGGAAAUAAGCAAUUUCAAAAUUGUUAGCCUAUUUCCUGUUUUUAAGUUGCAAUAGCUGCACUUAUUUAAUAAGGCAGUGUUUUUAGAGGUGAAGCAGUUACUACUUUGCUGAAUAAAUGGUCUAUAUUGUGCCAAUCAGUAAAUAAGUAGAAUUUAAGCCUUCAAUAAUUCAUCUGUUUUGAAAAGGAGCAGGCAAGGUCCAUUUUAAUAAGCCAUUUUAGAACAUAACUUUAAAAGCUUUAGACAAAACACUUUAUGUUCAAGGUUUUGCAAGAAUUGGAAUGAUGCAAUAGAAACAUCAAAGGGAAAUAGGAAAAAAUCAAUUUAAAGUGAAAGAGAGAAUCGACGAAAGGAAACUCACUCUCUAGCUCUUUGAAACUGUUCAUCCAGAUCCAUUAUGUAUAAUGUAUCCAGAGCAUCAAUUAGUGUUGCUCCAAGACCACCAAAGCUGUUGACCCCAUUCUUAGUCUGUGGCUGUUCACAAAAAUAAUGGGAGAAAUGAAAAGGUAAAAUUAUCAUGUUACUUCUAAGGCCAUAUAAAUAAAAUUCAUAUUGUAUGUAUAUGGAAACUAAAUUCAAACUUUUAAACAAUAAGCUAAGAGUUUGUCGACAAAUGAUAUCUGGCAAGUUCAGGAAUUGAUGCAGAACUCAUCUUAACAUUGGAUUUCAUUAUAAAGGAAGCAUGUACAACCAAAACUGAAAAAACCUAGUUUAUAAAGCAUUGGUGGUUUUCAAAUUGAAACAUUUUCCCUAAGCCUUUCCACGAUCCAGGCAGCACAAGAAAAAGUCCAAACAAUGCCUGUCAAGAUUUACAGUUAAACAUGUACUUAGAAGGAUCCAGCCAAAAAAAAAAAAAAAUCACCCGCUUUUUCCAAGCGGGAGAACAUAACUGUUAUUAUAAAAACAAAAUAAAAGAGAGAGAGAGAGAGAGAGAGGAAGAGAGAGAAUAAAACUAGUCCAGUAAUUCAGUGACAACAAUAUAUAUGAUGUAUCAAAAUUUCUCAUUUUUUGUCCAACAAAGUUCGGUUCUUCUCAGUUGGGUUGGGGUGGUUUGACCACAAAAUGCUAUGUUUACACACAAGACUACCCCUUUUCAUGAAAGCUUCACGGGGACUAGGGCUUUGGUCCAUCUCAGCUCUGCCCAGAAGGGCACUUACAGGCAUUUUAUGACCAGCCUUCAACAGUUUUUGAAAUCAGGCCCCGAUGGGGAAAUGAAGAUAUAAAAAAAACAAUGAAGUAAACUUCUCCACGCUAAAAAUAAGUGAAAGUAUUAGAAUAUAUGGUAUUAGCCAAUUCACUCACAAAAGAAUAAACUAGAGAAAUUUUUUGCAGUUCAGUGCUUUUUAUCAGCAAGCAAUCAUGUUUAGAAUUAAAUUAAAUUCCAAACAUUUCAACCCAUAAUUCAAGUUUCAAUCUUUUUUUCCCCCCGUUUGUGUCAAGUAAUGUUUUUAUUUUUAAUUUACAAACCAUGAUCGACAAGAUGUGUUUGUCGAACAUAAAUUCAGAGGAAAAAGAGUAGUCACUAAUUCUCCAAAAAAGCCACAUGGAAUAGAGAAGUUAACAAUUAAUAUAUCUAAUCCAUGUUAAUUUGCAUUAUCAACAGUAUAUAUCAUUCACUCAAACUUACCUGAAGUUCAUCUUGGCCCCAUGCAUACUUCUCAUACGAACUCCAUGCAUGAAUCAUAGCAUCCUUUACUUUCUGUUUUCGCUGGAUAUCAAUAGGAUCCUCCACAAAUGCCUUGUUUCCAGGGGGCUGUUUAGCUUGUUUUAUGUGAUCAAUUUUUUCAAUUACAUUGGCAGGGUUAUUCUUUAUCUCUUCCAGCUGAAAGAAUAAAUUUUGCAUCAAAACAACAGUUAAGAAUCCCUUAGAAAACUGCCCAUAAAGGUUGUCAGGGUGCUGCUCGUGGCUUAAGAAUUCACUUGUAGCAUUAUUAGUCACAUAAAUAGCAUUGAAGACAGAUAAAGGGAAAUAGAAUAGGCCUUUUGCAUGUAUAUUUCAUUGUAUCAAUCAGAAAUUAUAGGGCCUUUGGCAGAAGUAUUCUUUCUUUUUUACAUAAUAUGCCUGGGAAAAAGAAAUAAGCAUGCCACAACUGGGAGAAAAAUAGGUUUGUUUCAGGUUAAUAGAUCAAAACACCCAGAGAUCUGUUGAUCAUGAACAAUAGUACAACAAUAGCCAAGAUGUACCCAACCCCUCCUCUCCUCACCCCCAAUCUCCCACCACCCAUCCUCCUUCGUCCCUCUUUUAUCCAACUCCGGAAGAAGCAGAAAAAGGGAAAAAGAAAAGAGUAGAAGAGAAAGAUAAGAGAAUGCUAAGGUUGACAACUCCUACCAUAUUUCGCAAUUGAGUAACUUCUUCAUUUAACUCGGAAAGUUCAACCUGCGAUACAAAAGAAUUUUGUUAUGCAAACACAUUUCAGUAAAUUGAAAAAAAAAAAAACUUUGACAGAGCAAAAAAGUUUACGAUAAAUUCAUUUCUGAAUAUAUAUUGUAUAUAUCCACCAAAGAACUUAUGCUCACACAUAAAAUAAAUGAUAUAAGAACUUGCUUGAUGAACAUGGCCACAAUAGGGCAUUGUGUCAUUUUGUAGUGUGCUAAGUAAAUACAUUUUAAUCAAGAUGUUACAAAUAAAAUAUAGGACAGGGAGGAAAAGAAUACAAAAGUAAACUUCUCAUUCUAUUUCUCACUCCCUCUUUUAUAUUCCUCUUCAUCUUGUUACUCUGUAAUCCUCAUCCAAACCAACUAAUCUCUUUGAAAAUAACAUUUAGCUACUUUGUUACUUUAUUUACUUUAUUGGUUAAUGCCUAUAAAAUUAUAAAAUCAUGCUACAUAUGUGGUGGAGUUUUGACAAAUUACUUGUAAUGGAAUCAAGCAUCCUGUUUGCAACUCAAGGCUGACAUGUUCAAGAAACAACUUGGGGCCUAGCUUCUCCUAGCCCUCACUGUUUUUCUUACGUGUAUCCAUAUUAUCAAUUCUAGCUCGGUCUUCUCCUUGUUCUCCUUGGUUGCUUUUCGUGAAUACCUCAUUUGUAAUUCAGAUCAAACUCUAACAUGAUUUUCACUUUUAGAGUAAAAUAUAUGGAUGUAAUCUACUCAUGUCAACAACAAAUGAAUGACCAGGACAAUAAAUCCAUCACCUGUUCACCCAUUUAUUGUAAAUUCAAUUAUCCGUCUUGAUGUGCGAGAAGGGUGGUAAAUGAUCCACCCAAUAGGUUCCACAACUUCUCAUUGUGCAAGACGUACAAAUCAGUGUAGGUCUUUUCAAGGACUGUUGCCCCCUCUCAACUUCAGCCUUCCUCAAUCUUUUUUAACAACUCAAUGGACCCCUCAAAAUUGUUUAAUCAUCAUUUUUCUUUGUUAAUCUCAAUUGGAAGGGGGUGUUGAGAUGGAGUAUAAAAGCUGGUUUGGCCUUCUAGGGGAGUGAUAGAUGACUGGGUAUAUUUUUGUAGAGCACAGAAAAUUUAAGUUUUUGCUUACUCAGUGGACAACCGAUCAACUUUACUGUAAUGAUUCUUUAUCUUUAGUAAGUUUUCCAGUUUCUUACCAAAAGAGUAAUAAUUUAAAUAAAUCUACUUCCUACCUUAGGUGCUGGAAGCCUAUAUUCUUGAUGUGGAUGCUUUGGUCUUCAUUGGCCAUCGAAGUUCAAGUGAGUCAAGUACUUAUCUUGGUAAUUUCUCAUUUCAGAACGGAUCUUGAAAAUGAACUAAACAAAUUACCUAAAACUUCAUUAGUCUGUAACUGGAUGCACUCUCAAUUCGUCAGUCAAUAUUUUUCUCAUUUUACUUAUAUUCUAAUAUAUAGUAAUACGACCUCCCGCAUUGGUAACUACGGCAUUGGUAACUACAAUUCUAGCUACAAUUGGCUUCUACUCUUUCUAUCAUAAAAAAUUGCACUGAACUCUUAACAGAUAACACAGUUUCCUUCAAUGUAAAGUAUUCUUAGAUCCAGGUUCCAGCAUAAAUACCGGAUAUCGUCAGCUCUAACUGUCUAUUCUUGCUCAAUACUCACGCAUAAAUGCUCAAAAUGAGAUCCUAGAACCACCAAGUUCAAUGGUUAAUUUAAUCAAACUUCAGCUCGAUUUAAGAGAAUAUCAAACAAUCUACAUUCCUCGCAAUGAUGGAACGGAGACCAUUGAUUCUGAAGAAUCAAUAUAGAUUCCAAACUAAGAUCAUUGCAUAAACUAAAUAUCCAAUGCCAUUAUCAUCAUGUAAUUAACAAAUAUUAAACAACCAAACAACAUUCACAAUUUUUAUAUUAAAGAAUUUAUAAAAAAAAAUACCUCGUGUUCUCUAACAAGAGUCUGGCGAUCCCAAACGACCAGUGUAACAGAAACAAACACGAUCAAAAGCAUAGCCAAACGCUUCGGUCUCUUCAGGUAAUACGCCGGAUUACAGUAUCUCAAUUUGCCACUUGAUGAUGAUGAUGAUGAUGAUCUAUUCCUCGCCAUCUGAUUGAUUAAAUUAGAUCUAACAACAAAAGCUGAACUCCUAAAUCAACUAUUUUAUUUUAUUUAUUUUUAAUUUAAUCCAUUAUAGAUAAAGAUUUGUCAAAACGGAAGCAUUUGGAGCAAACGAGCGAGGCUGAUCUGAGAGAAGAACGUAAACGGGAACCAAAACGUUUCGAGACGAUCUUUUUGCUCGAAAAACGUUUCGAGGAUUUGAUUGUGUUUGUAUGAAAUGUUUGAUGGGAGAGAAAGAUAGGCGAACGAGUGUUUGUGAAGAAAGAAACACGGGAGAAUUUUACAAAGUGGUGUUUGAUUGAAGACCAAUUGACAGUUGACAUGUCAGCAGCCGAAGACUAAGUCGCAAUUCUUAUUCUUCCUUUGUUUCUAUUUCUGUGUCAGUCAAGUCAAUGGUUAAUUUUUUUUUAUUUUUUAUUUUUUGGAUUUAAAAAGUUUAUUGUUCAUUUUAAUUUUAAUAAAAUGAUACUUGCACGCGCGUGUUUUAUGUAUCAAGUAGAUUUUUGAAUCAAUCUCGUUGUUAUAUUAUGAAUCCAAGAAAUCUAGGUACCGUUUGGGUAUUGUUUUCUGAUUACUGCUUUCAUAAAAUAAAAAUAGAUUGAAAAUAUUAUUUUUAAAAUUUUAAAAUGUGUAUGGCAUAAUUUUUAAAAUUAACCUUGAAAAUGAGAAAUGUAAAUCAAGCCCGGUAGGAGUAUUUUAAAGAAUUAUUAUUAGAAUAAUUUCAUAAAAUUAAUAUUAAGUAAUGUAUAAUCAUUUUUAUUAUUUAAUUAGUUUGAUUAUUUUAAUUUUAAAAAUAAAUUAGGUGAUCUUGUUGAUUGUAAGAGAAAUUUAUUUUUUGGGUAUAAUAAUAGUAGUAGUAGUAAUAAUAAUAAUAAUAUUUUAUCGUUAUUGUUGUUGAUGUUAUUAAUAUUUUUUUGAGAUAGAGCGGAAGAAAAUUAUUUAUUUUGUAACUUAAUAUUGUAUGGAAAACAAGAAAAAAAUCAUUUUCUUAUUUUCUUUGUUAAAAAUGUAAAAUAAAAUUUAUAUUUUUAAAAAAUAUUUUCAAAAAAUAGAAAAAUGAGAUUUGGAAACGAUAUCGGAUCAACCUAUUUAGAAUUUGAUGAUAUGGUUUGAUGUUCUACGAAACUCAAUUUGGCCAGUGGCCUAUAAUGAUGUCCAUCGCGCAUGGUGGCUUUACCUAAUUACAUUCAAUUUAAAUUGGAGUCAUUUUGAUCAUUAGAGCUAGAACAUUUUUUUUUUUAUUGUUUUAUUAUUUUCUAGUUUAGAAUUGAUCAAUUUUUGACAAAUUUGAAAAUGCAUUUGGUUGCUUUUUUUAAACAGUAUCUAGUAAAUGAAAAAAAUAAAAAUAUGAUUUAUUGUCUUUUGUUUGUCUAAAAAUUGGAGACAACAAAAGAGAGAAGAAAAUGUUUUAUAAGUGAAAGUGUUUUUAUAAAAUAUGAAUAACUUUUUUGUAAUAACUAACAAGAAAAAUAAAAAAACAUUAGUAACAUCAAUUUUUUAUAAAUCAAAAUAAUAACUAAUAUGAAGGACUUAAAAAAAUCAUACAUAUUAUCCAAUUUUUUAUAAAUCAAAAUUAUAACUAAUAUGAAAUGAAAGAUAGACAAAAUAAACCAAAACUUUAAGAAAUUCUAUGAAAAAUUAGAAUAAGUUGAAACGUAAAAAGUCUUGAUCAAUAACAAACCUUAUAAUAACUUAACGCUAAUAUUAGUAUCUUAUUAAAAAUAAAAAUAGUAAAUAAAAUAAUGUAAUAUAGGAUACUCUUAAAGAUACUACAUCUCACAAUCUAGAUAUAGAUCCCCCUAUCUUACAACCAAUGUAAGAUACACUCCUCACAUGAACAGUGCAUGGAUCCCACACAUAUACUGUUCAUGUGAGGGGAUGUACCUUACAUUAGUUGUAAGAUAAUGUUUGCCUUUAUAUAUAUAUCAUCAAAUGAUCAAUCGUCAAUAGAAGUGAAUUAAUGAUUUGAUGAUACUGAAGUUGUGGGGUACAAUUUUAAUUUGAAAGGUCUUGCAAUCAUAGAAAGUCUUUUUAGUGAGCCCGUGUAAAUUGAGAACUUGUGGAGAACUUAUAAGGACUUAUUCGGUAUUAUUUCUAAAUUUAAUUUUUUUAAAAUAAAAAUGAAAAUAAUAUUUUACAGUUACAAUAUUCUAAAUUUAAAUAUGCGUUUGGUAUUAUUUUCUAUAUCUUGUAUUUUUAAAAUUGAAAACAGUAAUAUCCGUUCGGUAGCAACAACUGAAAAUGAUAAAAAUAGUAAAUAUGUAUUUAGUAGUACCAUUUUCAAAAAUAGUUUUACUUAACAUUUAAGUCAUACUUAUACUUAGAAAAUAAUUGUUUAACUAAUAUAUACCCUAUGAUACCAUAAAUAAUUUUAAAAAAUAAUUAUAGAAAAUUACAUGAUGAUAAAAUUUUAGUAUUAGCAUUAGUAAAAGAAAAAAUUUACAUUGUCAUUAUUUUUACAUUAUAAUUAAAUAAGCUACUCAUGAAAAACAACCCCCUACAUGUUUUUAAAAGCUGCUGAUAAAAUGGAGAAAAUUAUGAAAUAACAUGCUUUUACAAAAUUUACCAAACACUAUUUUUAUAAAAAAAUUAUAAAAUAAACAGCUUAUUAAAUUUCAACCGCACUCUCAAACUGGCCCACAUUUUACAACACAUGCCAUUUAUUUAAACAAAAUAAUUAUAAAAAUUACAUAAUAGACAUCAUGCAUAUCUCCUUUUUACACUAUGAUUAAGAGUUACUUGCCCUCACCAUCAACAUUUUGUGGAUACAUAUCUUGUUACUAAAAAAAUUAAAAAAAUAACAUAUGUCAAAUAUUAAUGAAACUUAAAGAAACUGCUCCCAAAACAUACAUAGCUUAAACUUUUAAAAUUAAUCAAAUUGAAAAAAGCAUGAAAGCCACUUAGCAAUAUGUCAUAGAUUAAAAAUUUAACAUAUCAAAAUCAAAUAUAUCCUACUACAAAUUUACCAAUUCAAACAAAGACCAAGCUAUUGUCAAAUGUUUUUAACUCAUUUUUUCAUAGCACAUCCAAAAAAACUAAGAACAAUGAAAUCAUGCACACACAAUAAAUAAUAAUUACUCAUUUUUAACAAACAAAUUUUUACAAUAAUUAGUGUGAAAAAUACAAUAAAAAAAUUGAACCCAAACAAAUGACAAUUUAUGAAGAUAAAAACAUAGAUGUGAUUUGACGGAGUCGAGAGAGUAGCAAGCCACAAAGAUGGAGCCGAGAGAGCAGCAAAAGCACCAAGAUAGAGUAGCAGCGUAGUGAAGACAAAGCGCAUCAGCAACAGCGGUGAUGCAAUCGAGAAUGCAACACAAAAGCAGCGGAGAUCCUGUGCAGUGAUGGCGGUGGCAGAGAUGCAGCGCAACAAUAGCAACGAUGGAGACGCGAGGAGUAGCGACAGAGAUGCAAGUAACAAUUAGAUUGAGAUAAAGAGAAGAGUGAGAGAGCUGUGAAAUCGAUGAAGAGAUGAGGAGAGAGAGUUGUGCAGGAUAAAAUUUUUUUUUAAGGAGAUUAUUACUCGUGAUAUUUACAAUCAUAAAUUUAUUGAGACCAGUUUACAUCAAAUUUUAUAUGACACUGUUCAGAUUUUAAUCUUUUUAAAUAUUCGAGGGACGUCAACUCCACUCCUACGAGAAAGACUGUCUUCACUCAAAUUUUGAGGAAGAAAAUUUAAAUUAAACAUCUACAAUGCAUCUGUGGGGGCUCUAGCCGCUGGGCCAAGCCCUAGUGGUUGUGCAAGAUAAGAUUUUAGGGGGGAGAGAGAGAGCUUUUGGAUUUUACUUAAUAAUUCAUUUCAGAAUUUAGUUUGUAAUAUAUAGAGAACAUGUUAAAUAUGUUUUCAAUUUUAUAACUGUUAAAAUAAAUCUAGAUUAUUUGUUUUAUAGUUUAUUUUUUGAGUCCAGUCCACCGAACAUGUAUUGCAUCUAUAUUCUCAAAAUAAAAAUGAAAUCAAGGGCCCAAAAACGCUACCAAACAAGCCCUUAAUUUCUUAGCUGAGAAUUAUCUCAUUUCCAUUAAAAAUGAGAAUUUCUCCAAUUUUGAGGGCAACCAACUGUGUUUUUCACUUUCACAUUUUUGAAAAACAAAAAAUGGUGAUUCGCUACCAAAGGCAGCCUUUUGAAACGGUAAAUUGAGACACAAUUAAUUUUAUCCUUUUGAUUAUAAUUGACAAAAGAACUUAAAAUUUCUCAAAUUCUAUGGCGGUAAUUGUGAUGCAUGAUUAUUUAGAAGAUCUUUUUUGUCUUUUUUUUUGGGGUACAAAAAGUGUGGGAGACUUUUGUAGGUCUUUGGUAUUUAGUCUUGGUGAUAGUGAUGUUUUUUAGUAAACGUCAGUUUUAUUGGUCCGCCUGCGGUGCUACUGGUGCCGUGUCCCUUAAUUCAUCUUUUAUGUUCAAAUCUCAUCUAAGACCUUACACUUUCUUUAUUUAUAAAUUUUAUAAAUACUAAGAUACUUUAUGCUUACAUUCAUAAUACGUUAGUGAGUUUAGGGUUAGGUUUGAUAUCAAAUACAUAUAUUGUAUUAAUAUAAUUAAAAAUUUUAAUAACAUACUAUGUUUGGUGUAGGGAUGGUAAUUUUUCCCGUUGGGACGGGAUCCCGUUUAGGAUGGGAUUGGGACAUAUUUUUUCAUCCCAAAUUAAAAUGGGAUGGGAUAAGGAUAAAAAUAAAUCCCGCUUUUAUUUAUGGGACGGGAGGAGGACCAAUUAUAAAAUCCCGUCAUGUCCUGUAUAUCCCGUUAAUAUUAUAAUUUAAAAUAAAAAGUGAAAAAGUCACAAAUAAAAUUAAUAAUUUAUAGCAAUAAUUACCCUUCAAAAUUCAGCCAAUUUCCUAAAUUAACACUGCACCAACACUGCACACUAAAUGUUGACCGCCCAACGCCCCUUGCCCUCACCAUAAAAAAUUUUACUCCGCCACAAAAGUUCCCAAGCAGCCACCCACGACUUGCCCACUACGCCUCUGCUAGCAAUUCAUCCACAAAAUUCUCGCUUUUCAGCCUCCACACCGUAAGUUAACAUUCAUAAUUUGGCUUUUUUUGUUUUUAUUGUUCACAGUUUUGUGCUCUUUAAAUAUUAUUAUAUUAUAUACUACGGCAAUCUAGUUGAAGUUGUUAUAUUAUAAUGAUUAUUAUAUUUGUUUAAGUAGUAUUGAGUUUUAAAAUAAAGGUUCUUGUGGUCCCAUAUUAUUAUUACUUUUGUUUUAUAUGGUUUGAUGUUUGUAAAAGGUUAAUUUAUAUUUAAUUCAUUUAUUUGAGUUGUGGAUUGUUGUUUUCUUUUUGCUUUAAAGGAUGGCUUCUCCUCCAGUAGUGAACAAUGAAAGUUUAGAUAAUGAUGAUGUGCAUGUUGUUGAAGAAAACGCCAAAGACAAUGAUUUAACAUCAAGAUUAAGAUCAGUGGUCUGGAAACAUUUUGAAAGAAAGAUAAAAAAUGGAAAAAUAAGAGCCUUUUGUAAGCACUACAGUAAAGACUAUGUUGGAGGUCCUAGAGAUGGAACAAGACACUUGAACGAUCACAUGAAAAUAUGCCCUCGGCGUAAACAAAUUGAGAUAACACAUUAUUCAAAAAAGUUAAAAACAGUUGAGGAUGAUCAGGGAAAUGUGAAGGUAGAGACUUAUUCUUUUGAUCCUGAUGUCACUAGGGGAUUGAUUGCACGUAUGAUCAUUAUGCAUGAGUACCCAUUAAGUUGCGUUGAGCAUGAAUGGUUUAGAAAAGUGUUGUCUUCUUUAAACCCAAUGUGGAAAAACGUAUCUCGCAAUACUAUAAAAAGUGAUAUUAUGGAGUUAUAUGAGAUGGAAAAGGCUAAGGUUGUGAGUUUAAUAGAGAGUAACCGUAGUAAAGUUGCAAUCACAACCGACAUGUGGACUUGUGGCUCCCAAACAAAAGGGUACAUGGCUAUUACAACACACUUUAUUGAUGAUUCUUUGACCUUACGGAAUCAAAUUUUGAGGUACUAUGUUUAAUUCUAAUUAACAUUGCAUUAACUGUUGAUAAUUGCACUACUAAUGAUCGAAUGAUUCAACUUCUACUAGAUAAACUUGAUAAAAAUGAUUUACUUAUGGGUGGCAAGUUGUUUCAUAUGCGAUGUACUGCUCACAUUUUAAACUUGAUUGUCAAAGAGGGGUUAAGUGUUAUUAGUGAGGGUGUUGCUAAAAUUCAUGCUAGUGUUGCAUUUUGGAUAGUUACCCCUCAAAGAAGGGAAAAAUUUAAAGAGAUUUCUCGUAGGUUGAAUAUUCCAUGUAGUAAGGAGUUAGUUCUUGAUUGCAUCACUAGAUGGAACUCUACUUUUCUCAUGAUUUCUGUUGCCCUGGAGUAUAAAAAUGUCUUUUAUAGAUUGCAUCAAUUGGAAGCACAAUAUAGGUGUUUGCCAAGUGAAAGUGAAUGGGAGUUAGCUCGUAUAUUGUCAAAUAAUUUGAAACUAAGUACCCCACAUCCAUUUUUUUUUUUUCAUUCAUAUUUGUGAGAUUAGAUUAUCAUUAGGUAGUUGGCUUACAUGUGAGCAUGAUGAAGUUAGACAAAUGACAAUUAACAUGAUUGACAAAUUUGAAAAAUAUUGGAAAGAUGUUAAUGGGGUAUUAAUCGUGGCAACAGUGUUGGAUCCUAUAUAUAAAAUGAAAUUGAUUGAGUUCUACUUUCCAUUGUUAUAUGGUGAUGAAUCAAAUAUUCAUAUUGACAGAGUUCAGAUGCUUUUUAAGGAAUUAAUAAAGGAGUAUGAAUUUAAGGCCAAAUUAUUUGUAAGCGGUCCUAGCGCGGGUGCUUUUAGUUCUAGUAUAGGAGAGUCCUCAGUCGUUAUGUCCCAUGUUGAGGAACAACUUUCAAGUAGGUAUGAUGAUUUUUUGAAAGCCAAUAUGGUUGAGAUUUGAGAACCGUAAGACUGAGCUUGAAUCAUAUUUAGGUGAAUAUGUCUUGAUUACUAAGGACAAAAAUUUUGAUAUUUUAGGGUGGUGGAAAAUAAAUGCAAUACAAUACCCUUUGUUAUAUACUAUUGCUAGGGAUAUACUAGCAAUCCCAGUGUCAACAGUUGUUUCCGAGUCAGCUUUUAGCACAGGUGGUAGAGUAGUUAGCCCACAUCGUAAUAGACUACACUCACAAACAGUGGAGGCAUUGAUGUGCGCUCAAAGUUGGUUGAAUGCUUACACAAGAGGUAAUUUAUUUUAUUGUAAUUUAUGCAUAUUUUAAAUCUUCGAACUUUUUUAUUUUCUUUUCUAGUCUUUAGUUUUUUGUUUUCUAAGACAAUGGGCAUACAACUUCUAGUGAAAAUCCUACAUUUGCAGAUGAAGAAAAAGUUGAUGCAGAGAUUGAAGAGGUAACCGAUUUUAUUAAUAAUUUUGAACAUUAAUGAUUAAUUAUUAUGUAAUUAUCAAAAUAUUAGUCUUACUCUAACCUCUCUUUAUUAAUUCCUGUAGGUUUAUACAGAAAUUUGAAAGUGCGGUCUUGAAAGUGUGGUUAGAGUAUGGAGUUUUCUUGUGUAAUGAAGUGGGAACUGGAAUUGAAGUCAACUUUAGGAAGAUUAUGUUAAUUUUUAACUUUUGCUUGAACUUUGGAACUUAGAUUGAUUUGGAUUAGCUUUGGAACUUUGAAUUUUUUAUUUCUUUAUUUGCUAUAUAUUGAUUUAUGGCGAUCCUUAAAAGAAAAAAUUAAAAUUUAUUUAUUUACAUUCGGGACUAUUCGGGAUAAUGGGAUGGGACGGGAUAUUUUAUGGGACAUGAUUGGGAUAAAUUUUUGUCCCAAAAAAAAUAAAGGGACGAGAAUGUGACUUUUUUUUUGUCCCAAUUCAAUGUACAGGACAAGAUUGGGAUUGACAAAUCCCGUCCCAUCCCAUCCCAUUGCCAACCCUAGUUUGGUGUAAUAUGAUUAUGAAUUGUAAAUUAUAUUUUGUUGUUAUUUGUUUAUUUAGCAUUAUAAACAAUAAAUUACUUGUUUAUUUAUAAGAACAUAUUUCACAUUAUAAAUUUUAUUUUAUAUUUUUAAAUACAUAGUAAAUUUGCAAAAUAAAACGAGUGUAAGAUGCUAUACGAAGUUAAUGAAUAUGAUAGAAUGAUUUAAUGAAUUAAACACAAAUUAUGUGGUUUGUUGUCGUAGGUGCAACAAAGUCAUGGGUCAAUUGUAGGGAUGACAAUUGUGCCCCCAAACCUGUCCAAACCCACUCGCUGUGGAUAAUUUUGCGGGUUACAGGUGGAUUUGGUAUUACAAGUGGGUUUGGUAUUACAAAUUGAAACCCACACUUAGAUGCGAGUGAGUUUGGUAUUAGCCCAAUAUCUGGUGGAUACCCGCAUGGAUAUCCGCUAGACUCGCAAUAUUUUUUAAAAAUAUUUUUAAUUUAAUUUUAUUUGAAAAAAAUUUUAAUCUAAAAAAUAUAUAAAGAAAAUAAUGCAAUAAUACAAAGUGCCAAACAAUCAAAGUGUUUUUGUACAAACUAUUUUUCUUUAACUUAAUGCAUGAAUUAUUUCAUUAUUAUAAUUUUUUCCUUCAGAUUAAUAUUUGAAAAGUAUUAUUCUUUGAAAAAUAUUAAUUUUAAUCAUUAUUGUAGGCAUCAUGUUGGAUGGGUGCUAAUGAUGGUGAAUGAAAUGAAGAUCUUCUCUUGGAGCUUGUGUUGAAUGAUAAUAUGAAAUGUAAUUGUUAUUUUUAGAUACUAGUUUGUGAUUUUUUUAAUGGAUUUGUGUAUUUUAUACUUAAAUUUGAGAAUUUGUGUUGGAUUGAUGUUGAAAUUUUAAUUUUUCAUUUACAUUGGUUAAAUUUAAAAUUGAGUAUGUUAUGUGGAAUUUGAAACUAUUAUUAUAAAUUUACAUAUUGAACAUUUGUGAUUUUAAAUAUAUAAACCCGUAAAAAAUCCAUCAAAUACCAUUGCAAGUUUGGUAGUUGUCAAAACCCACAGUGGGCGGGUUUUUAAAAAAAAAUUAAAACUCGCUGCUGUCAGUGUCCAUUACCAUCCCUACUCAAUUGUAAUAAUCUAAGUUUUUUUUUUUUUUUUUCCUUUUCCUUUACCGCAAUAGAACAAAAUCGGUUGGAUAUCUAAAAUUUGAAUGAUUUUUGCUUGAAAGACAAGUCCGCAUCUCAUUCUUUACAAUAAUAAUGAAUAAAAACUAACCGCUGGAAUUUGAAUCUUGGAGAAAUAAAAAGUUAAAAAAAUUAAUUUGAACAUUAUCCUCCCAUAUAAAUAUUGAAAAAUUAUGAUUAAUAUCUAAAAAUUUUGUUUAAGAAUAAUUUAUAGCUUUGUUGUUUAGCUAGAAGACUUUCGAGUUAGUUAAAUAAAUACUCUUUAAGCUACAGAGAAAAAUAAUGAUUAAAAAAAUUAUGUAAUUAAUGUUUUUCUUGAAUGAAAAAUAUAAGUUGACGGUUUAUUUUGUUUCCAAUAACAAAAAUUGAAAGUAAAAAAUUUGCAUAAAAUUAAGAUAGGAGUUAGGGUUAUAAAAAGGACUGAAAAUUAAGAUGAUGAAAGUGAGAGACCCUGUAAGAGGAUCAAACGGGUUGGGGCCCAGGAUCUGGCCUGUUGGGGUACUUGCCAAACUCAGACCCGACCCAGUUUUAGGCUUUAGCCAUUGUGGCCCAUUCGCCGGAUUAGCCCAGUCUAACACUAGGAACAAUCAAACGGAUAUUAAAAAUUCAGUGUACUAAUUAAUAAAAUAAGUAAUCAAUUAAUUUAGAUUAAUAAAAAAAUUAAAUACAUUUGUUUAAUAAUUAAAUGAAUUAAACAUCCCUUAAAAUUGAGGGAUCACAAACUUAUCUCCCUGUUGGAGGAAGAAUUUUAUAUCUAAAAAGAAGUAACAUUAUAUAUGGAUCGUACGCAAAUUCCCUUAAUAAUUGCACUUAAAACGGUCAAAGACAAAAUCUUGACCAAAAUGAGAAAUUAAACUAAACAGCUGCCUAUCUCUCGCCGCCCCCAUCCAAUCUCAAUCAUCCAAACUCUUUCUUCCUUCGCCAGCGCUUAAUCUCGGCCGUUGAUAUCCCAGCUUCACAGAUCGCAAUCCGACGGCCACAAAUUCCUCUGUUCUGAUCUCUCUUUCUCCGGCGAUUUAAUUCAACGGCGGAAUUCGCUUGUUCCAGUGUAGGCUAUUCCUAUUCCGGUUUCGAUUCGUCGUACACUCGAAUGGUACUUCAAUUAAUCGGUUUAAUUGGCUGUUUAUUCUACGUAAAUUUGAGCUGAUAACAAGAUGAAAAAAAAAAAAAAAUCUUUUAAAAGAUUUAGCUUAAAUUAAUCGGUAUGGUUCCCGAGAAAGUUUAGGCAAUUAGAAAGAGCGCCAUUUAUUGAUUACAAUUUUAUCUUUUUGCUAUUUUCUCAGCUACCGCCCUGGUUUAAUUUACUUGAUUCAAGAAUUAUAGCGUUGCAUCAACUUGAAUGCAAAAUCAGAUUGUUUCUAUGAACUGUAUUAAUUAAAUGAUAGUAAUAUUUAGUAUUUUUGUACUUGUUCUCGCACUGGCGUAUUUAUUCAUAUAUUUUAAGAGCGACGGCCUUUGAAAUUUUAGUGUAGAAGAGAGGAUGGAUCAUGGGAGCAAUCCUCAAAUGCAAAUGAGUGAUGAGCAGCAUGCAAUCCAUCACGUGAAUUAUGUGCCAGAGCAUGAACUGCAUCAUAUAAGCAAUGGGGAUGUGAUGGAUGAUGAGCAUGAUGAGGGUAAUGGUGUUGGAGAGAGUGAGGCAAUGGAAGGGGAUGCACCAUCUGACCCCGGGAGUCUUUCUGAUAAUCGCGCCGUUUCUGAGAUUGGGGACCAGCUAACACUGUCUUUCCAAGGGCAGGUUUAUGUGUUUGACUCCGUUUCGCCCGAAAAGGUGAUUUUUGGAAGUAAUGUAUUUUUAAUAUCCGUUACUCUGACUACCUUGUUUGAUUGUUGGGAUUUUGUUUAUGUAGCUUGCAGCAUAUUGAAAUUUUUUGCUUUCAAAGUAGUUCGAAUGUCUUGAACAUAGUUUGCUAAUAGUGGUUUAUGUAAAUGGGGAUGUUGCUGUGGUGUCUGAAGUGAAUAUGAUCUGUUUCAUUUAACAAUCGGCGCUCAGAUAAAUACCAUAUAAUCUUUCGUAGAAGUUAAAGAAAGAAAUUCUAUAUAUUUUAAUGGACAAACUAAUUUAAGUUGCCAACACAUAGUGUCCGAACUCCUAAUUAACCAAUGGAUCAGUUUCUUAGUUUUGAUUCUCAGAACUGUAACAUGUAUUUUCAUUUCAAAUUGACUUGCCAUAGGUGUCACGUAUUAAAAGAAUUCUUAACGAAUGUCAUUGUCAUUGAUUACAGUUUUCCAUUAUUUAUUGUCCUUUGACUACUGAUAUGAAUGUCAAAGACUACACCAAUCGAAGUAGAGUCCACAUAAUUCAAUGUGAGGUUCUAUAGGGCAAGUGGGGUACCCAUAGUGGUUAAAUCAAGCCCUUCCUUUCUGCACUUGCUUGGUUAUCAUCAAAUAAGUCUCUGUAACUAGAUGUAAAGUUAUGACAAGAGCUUUACCAAGAGUUUACUGAGAAGCAACAGAAGCCUAGAUCUCAAGGUUUCCCUUUCAUCUUGACUCCUUUCACUCUUGCAUAGUUGCUUUGUCACAUGCCUUGUUUCAUUGAAAAUCUCAAAGUGGCUCUAUGACAUUACAUUCCUUACAUAUCCUACUGUGUAUAUACCUUUUUGCUGCACAUGUUUUCUGAAAAUAUAAUGCGACAAAAUUUCUUGCUAGAGAGCAGGAUGGACUGGGUUAUCUGUGAUCCUGUUUUGGGCUUGUUGAAAGAAUGUUGUGGAUUUUAAUCGUCCAGUCCAAGCUAAUUUGAUUAGUAUAAGGUUUAGCGUCUUGUUUUCUUUAGUAAACACUUUUACAAUGUUAGGUUUCUUAUUAUGCUGUUAUAUUUGGUGAUUACUAAAUGGCAGCAAAUUUUCUUCUCUUGCCUGAAAUGAAACAUUUAUUUAAAAUAUGCCUCAAUGUUGCUUUCAGAUUUGGCUUCCUUUACUCUUGGCAAAUUGUCCAUUUGUGGGCUAUUCUUCUUCAUGGAAAACCAUCAAAGAGUGUAGUUUUCAUUUUGAUCCUUCUUGGGUAUCUUUUGUAGGUUCAAGCUGUACUAUUGUUAUUGGGGGGGCGAGAAGUACCUUCAACCACACCUGCUAUCCCAAUAACUAAUAACCAAAACAACCGGGUAUUUCAGUUGACCUGAGUUAUUGAUUGAUUAAUAUUCUUUUUCUCUCUUUCUGUUAUUUUUGCUAACCAAUCCUUGAACCAGGGACUACCUGGUACUCCACAACGGUUGAGUGUCCCACAGAGAUUGGCUUCACUGAUUAGAUUUCGUGAAAAGCGAAAAGAACGCAAUUUUGAGAAGAAAAUUCGUUAUACCGUCCGUAAAGAAGUAGCACUUCGGUAUGGAAUCUGCCCUUGUUACCACUCAUAAUGCUUUAUAUGAAUGAUUAAGUUGUUAUUGAUGUAUUGCUUUAUGUUGUUGUCUUCACUAUUUAUGGGGGUUUAAAUACAUGCAUUUGUUUGAAUGAUGCCGUACUGUUAAGCUAUUGCGUACCUGUACGUAGCCUGGCAAUUGACACAGAUUCCAGUAACAUUGAAUUCUUAUUUAAGUGAGGGGGCAUAAGUAAUCUGUCUUUGGACAAUUUUUAUUUUGUUUCUUAGCUAGAAAUUACUUUUUCCCUUUUCUCCCUCUUGGCUUCCCGCUCCAUGGGGAGGUUGUUUGAAACUUUAAAUUCUAGGCCCCUCUUAAAAGAUGACAAUUUACUGCCAGUCAAAGCUAUUUGAAAGACAGUAAAAGGUGAAGAUUUGUAUUUGUGCCCCGCAGCUGUGGCCCUCCAAAGGAAAACAAAAAUCCAGCAAUAAAUUUAACAGAAUAAUAAUGAACUCUGUAUUUGCUGAGACGCCUCUCAAUAUAGGCAUCCUCAGUUGUGACUGACUUAAGACUUAAACAAUUGUCUUUAAAUCUUUUUUUCUCAAUAUUGGCAUUCCUAUUACUUGCUUAUUAUGAUGUGGCUUGCCUUGCUUACAUGCUUGAUACGCAUCAUUCCAUCCUUGGAUUAAGUUUGAUGUAAUCAUCUAGGACAGAGGGGAUGUAUUGAAAGAACAAGAAUUAGAAUGUGUUAUUCUAGAUAUCAUCUUCAAUUCUCUUUCUCUAUCUUUCUCCUUCUUCUACCUCCUCAUUCCAAGUUUACCCAAUACUGCUGUACGGCCAAGGCGGAUGUACGGUACAGCAGGGAAAUCAAGUUCCUAGAGGGAUCCGGUUUAAUGAAAAGUACCUCAUAUGUUUUGAUAGCAGUUUUGGAACUUUUUUUUAGUUGCUUCUCUGGAUUUGAUUUGAGAGAUUUAGAAGCGUUCAAAUUUGAUGAAAGUUGUUGUGGGUUGAAUGAUUGGUUAGUCCUUGGAUGGAGAAGCCUUAUGUGAGCAUAAAAUUGUUCAGGCUUUGAAUAUUAUAAUAGAAAAUAUGUUAUGCUCUGGUUCACUUUACCACACUGCUACAUUAAACAAUGCUGGCUCUCUUUUGUUUGGCCUGAUGUUAAUAUGGAUUGUGAGCUUGGCAUGUUAUAUUGUUAUCUCAGCCAGUAGCAUUGUGCCCUACAGCUUCUGCUCUUGGCAAUUCUUCAAGUCUGGAAUCCCAGGCCAGUCAUACAGUAGCAUAUUGUACUCAGAAGUAGGAAUGUUCAUCCAAUCUUUCCUCAUUUUUAAUGCGUUGAAUUGUUACUUCAAACUCCAGUGGAACCAAAAUUAGUUUAGUAUAUCUUCUUAUGGAAGUGGUGAAUAUAUCAUCUUGUAGAUCAGGAAACUUGCCCUUAGAGCUUUAUUAUGCUAUUUUUUAUGUUUGCCUGCGGAAAGUGGAAUUCUAAUGCUGUAAUUCUGGAGUUCUUCAUAGUCACCAUUUUUGUUGUUCUUUUAGGAUGCAGCGAAACAAAGGUCAGUUUACUUCUGCAAAGUCCAAUAAUGAGGAUUCUGCAUCAGCAAUUUCGAGUUGGGGGUCAAACCAGAGCUGGGCUGGGGAUGUUAAUGGAUCCCAAAAUCAAGACAUUGUGUGAGUCAAUGUUAUCUUCUCUGUAUUUAGUAAAGCUAAUCUGUAUUUAUUUUGUACCAGGGAUUUCAAAAUCUUCUUUAGUCGUAUAAGUAAAAUUUAGUUUUCUAUGGACUUAGCAACAAUUGAGACUGACAUAAGAGCAUGUUCUGUUGAACGUUGUUCUCCACGUAUAUGUAAUGCAGAUGGUCGCAUAGCAUUAAAAAAUCAUCGUUCAUAACUUGUUCACACUUAUCAACUCUGUGAAAUUAUGAUUUCUAAUGUUCCCUUGAAUAUGUCAGUUGCCGGCACUGCGGUAUCAGUGAGAAGUCAACACCAAUGAUGCGACGUGGACCUGAAGGACCAAGGACCCUUUGCAAUGCCUGCGGACUUAUGUGGGCAAACAAGGUAAGGUGUGAGAACUUGUAUGUGUAUCAUAAUGGCUGCAUGAUAUCUACAGUGUACUUGCAUGGUUGCAACAAGUGCCAUUGGUAAUUUAAUCUCUAAAAUUGUUAUUAUAUAACAUUCAAUGUAAAGGAACCAAUAUGAAGGAAAUAGAUCAAAAUGACCUUCAUCCUCAUGGGAAAUGGUUGCAUAUUAUGGUUCAAGAGAUUUUGAUUUGUAAUUCUGUACCAGCAUAUUGAUUUCCUUCUUUAUUCAAAAUAUUUAUGGACGAUUCCCUCAUCAAAUUUAUACAAUAACUUUGCUGUUUAUGUGGAUGUUCUUGUAUAUGCUUGGACAUUUCUGUCAAUAGCUUUUUUGUUCUCUGCUGAUGGAUGAACAUGAGUAAGCAAGGAAGGAAGUGCACAGUGAGAUGUCUCUGUUUAAUUAACUAGAAGGAUUCAAUGAAAACUCUGCAGGGGUAAUUAUAAGAAUCUUGUUGCACGGUCCUUUUCACCUAAAACCGUGUCUUGGUUUAUUUGGAGAGCAUGCCUAGGAUCUUUAAAAUUUUCACCCUGCAUGUUUUUUGUACUGUGUAUAAUGGAUGUGUAAUUUGAAACCUCUGAACCUUAGGGAACUUUGAGGGAUCUCUCCAAGGCAGCACCCCAAGCUGGACAGACUUCUUCCUUAAACAAGAAUGAGGAGGUGAGCAACCUACAAAUGAGUACUGCUUACGAGCGUAUUUGUUUCCUUUUGGGUUUAAAAUUUAGUAUUUUCUACUGUGGAGUUUUGAUAUACAUUUUAAUUGGAAUGAGUUGCAGAAUGGAACUUUAAAAGCUGAGCAAGUCAUUAGAGCUGUGGGAAAUAUUAACGGCUCCACAUGAUAAGCCAUAUUUGGCUGGGGCUCCAUGUCAAACUUGAGUGAGGCGAGGAGCAAUAGUGUUGGUUGCACAGCAGGGCAAGUAAGUUUUAUAUGCUAACAUGGGUAUCAGCAGCUUAUCCGUUAAUGGCCAACCAGGUAUCUUGAUGGAUGGACAUCGCGGAAAGUUGCAUCAUUCCGCAGGUUCCAAUAAUCCAUCGCUGCUUGUACUUGGUUUGAAUGGAAUAAUUUUAUCUGUAAAAUUUGUCUUGGUAGGGAGUGUUCUUUUUAUUUAAAAUUUUUUUAAGAGACAUGUUUUUAUUUAGAGAAAUUGUUGUUUUGAACUUGGAAGCUGCCAAGACAAAACAGAGGCUUUGUUGUGCAUUAUUGUUCAUUCUUACCAGUGAUUAGAGGAUAGAAAAAGUAUGCGUCUUUCAUUUGAAUUUUUUUUUUUUUUUUUUACACGUAUUUAUUUGUGCCUGUGCUUAAGGCUCCUCGAAGAUUUUGAAACAUGAUAUUGGUUAAGAAUUCUCUUUAACUUAAGGAAAAUUAUCAAUAAUUCAGGGAUGUUUCACAAUUUUGAAAACUUAUGGGUGUUUCCUCAUAUACGCCAAACCAUUGAGGUCAGAUGAUUAGCCUUUUUCAAUUUGAGUGUUUUUUUUUUAAUAAAAAAAGUUUUAAAAUUGUAUGGGGAAGGCGAAGGAUAAUCCCCAUCUUAAUAGUUACUAAAACCAUAUAAUUUAAUUAUGUAGCAGGGAAAAUAGCAAAAAAAUAAGUAAAUUAGUUUUGAUGAUGCAAUUUAAUUAUAUAAAUUGUCGUAAUUAUUCUUAAAGCAUAUAGGAAAAAAAAUUACGGAAAAUAAGUUAAAAAAAAAAAUUAACAGCUAAUGGAAGCCAAAUUAUUAGAAGGUAAAUGUUUUGUAAUCUCGUUGUUUGGUUUUUCAAAGUUAAAAUAUAAUUUAUAGUUUGGAUAAAUUAUUGGGAAAAAACCUGAUCAAAAUAGCGAAAUUUAUUCUCUCAUUAUUAUUUUUUGUUUAAUAUGGGCAAGUAAUCUGAUCGGAAGAGUUUGUAUUUUGAAAUUUUUUAUAAAAUAUCUGUCUUUUAUUGGCAGUAAAAAUUGAAUUUAAAUUUUUUUAUUGUACUAUGUGUGGAUGAGCACACUCAUCAAGAAAAAAUAAUAAAAUUAUAAAUUUUUUUAUACAAAAUGAUGUAACAUCACAUGAAUAAUUAAAUAAAAACAUCACUUAACUCACUUUAUUUAUUUUUAUGACUUUAGGCAGUGGCAGGUUGUAAAUUAUUUAAACAUCUAUCAAAGACAUAUGUGGAUUUAUUUUAUUUGCUUAAUUCAUUAACAAUCAAAUGUACCUUAAUUGGAAUAUUAAAAUAAUAUGUUCCCUAUGUAGUAUUUACAUAACCAAUUUUUUUUUACCAUUUUCUUUAUACAUUUUCAUAAACUUUCAUUGAUCAAACCCCAUCAAAAUAAAUCAAAUUCGUACUAUGUAAUAUCUUCCUUAAAUUCUAUUUCAAUCAACUAUAUACAUAUAGAUGUUUUAUUGCCCAUAAAAUUUCUUAGUAAAUAUUAUGACUUUAGGCAAUCGCAGGUUGUAAAUUAUUUGGCAGAAAUUUAGUUGCAGUAGAUUACAUAAUAUUUGGCGUCUCAUAAAAUAACGAUUGGAUUAAAUAACUUAUCUUUAAUAAAUAUUUACCACUCAACCUGUUCGGAUCCGAACAAAUCUUAGCCAAAUGAUCUAGUUUUUACCAGAUUGUUCCUACUAUGAUUAUACGUGGCAACUUCAGAAUGCGUUUCUUGUCAAAUCAAUUUCGAUUACUUGGCAAAACCCAUCAUUUAAAAUAAAUGUUUAAUUUCCUCUAAAGUCUUUAUCUACUAAUUUUCAACAAAUUAAAGCUACAAUAUGCAAUACUGGUGGCGAGAGCUGACAAAAGUCAAACCCUUUCCCCUUUUCAAAUCACGAGUGUAAAAUGAUGUGUUUGAAUAAGCUUUUAAAUGUGCAGUAAAUAAGAGCGGUCUAUUUGUAUUUUAAAAAUUAUUUUAAAUAUUUUAUUAUUUAUUUGUACGUUCUCAUAUUAAAUUUUAUUUUAUACACUCAUUAAACUACUAACAAUAUUCUAACUGAAACCACUUAAAUUAAUUUACUGAAAAAAAUAUAAAAAUUAUUAUUAACAGCAAAAUUAAAAAAUAAAAGUUAGUACAUAAUUACAAUAAACAUAAUCGAAUCGAGUCAAGUUAUAAAUAAAUUAUUUAAUACAAGUUUAAUUAUUAGUUUUGUUUACUAAAAAAAUAUUUUUAGUGUUGAUUUCUACACUCAUUUCUUUGCCUGCAUGCAAUAACAAUUGGGAGGAAAAAAAGGGCCAAUUGACAGAAGAAGUUAGGAGAUGCUUCUACAGUAGUUGAUUUGGGUUCAAUUUUUGCUUCCUCUCCCUCUUCCGAUUUUUUUUUUAUAAAAAAAUAAAAAAAAUAAAUCGAAACUCGAAAGGCAGACAUAUGAACAUCUUGCCGAUACUUUAAUUUAAUUUAGUAAUUUGAAAAUUUAAAAUGGUCUCACAAAUCUUGUAGUUAAAAUAUUUUAAAAUAUUGAUUUACUUAUUAGUCAAAUAACUUUUGUUUAAGAUGCUAAAAAUAAAAUUUUGAAAGUUUAAAGUAAAAGAAUUAUAAAUUAAAUAAUGAACGCUCAAAAUAAUUAUAUUAUGUUAAUUGAUAAUAAAUUGUAUUCAAUAGUAAUUUUUCUAAUGGGUAUUUUUAUAAUAAAUUAUUUUAUUAAAAAUUAAUUGUUUAAAGUAGAUUUUAGAGUGCAAAUAGUCCCACUCAAUAAUUAAUCAGAAAACAUUUACAUCUUGUAUUGUAUGAUUUAAUCACCAAACAAGCCAUUGACUAAAAAUAAUCAAAAAACUGAUGUGUGUUUUAUAAAUGCAUAAUCAAAUUGUGUGAGUACUGCAUGAAAUUGCCUACUAAAUCUCCAUUCACAUUACCACGGAGGAAUAAUUUUACAAUAAGAGAAUACUAUAGAAGAUAAAAAAAUAACGAAUAAUUUAAAAAAUUUUAAAAAUUUUAAAAAUUUUAAAAAUUUUAAAAAUACUAUAGAAGAUUAGAGUAACAAAUAAUUUAAAAGAUAAAAAAAAAUAGAUUUCAAUAUACUAUAGAACAAAUGUGUGUGUGUUGUUUUUUUUUAAUCUUUUAACUAUAUUAUAGUGUGUAUCUUUUUAUCUUUUAAAUUCUCUUUUUUUUUUUAAAUAAAAGAUUCUCUUAUUGUAAAAUUACACCAUUGUGGAGAAUUCCUUAUACUAACUUGAAAAAACAUCCACUAGCUAAAUAAGCUUUAGGCACUGUUCGAUAUUAUGCUCUUAAUAGCUUUGUUGAUGCAAAUUUUUGCUCAAAGAAUAGUAACAAUUUUUUGUUUCCGAAUUUCUUCUAUAGUAAGCUUUGUGGCCCAUUUUCUCCUUGAGACAAGGGUCGCCGGUCACCUAUCUUCUUAUAAUUAAUUGUUUUGCAAAAAAAAUAUUGUUAAAGGAUGCUAGGAUUGCCCGCGAUAACCUUCCGACGCCCAAGUUAACAUUUUGUACUCAAUUUAUAUAUAUAUAUAUCUAUAUAUAUAUAGAGAGAGAGAGAGAGAGAGAGAGAGAGGUGAUGAUGAUGAAGAUUAGGGCUUGCUCUACCAUGUUCAGAGAGAGAGAGAGAGAGAGAGAGAGAGAGAGAGAGAGAGAGAGAGAGAGAGAGAGAGAGAGAGAGAGAGAGAGAGAGAGAGAGAGAGAGAGAGAGAGAGAGAGAGAGAGAGAGAGAGAGAGAGAGAGAGAGAGAGAGAGAGAGAGAGAGAGAGAGAGAGAGAGAGAGAGAGAGAGAGAGAGAGAGAGAGAGAGAGAGAGAGAGAGAGAGAGAGAGAGAGAGAGAGAGAGAGAGAGAGAGAGAGAGAGAGAGAGAGAGAGAGAGAGAGAGAGAGAGAGAGAGAGAGAGAGAGAGAGAGAGAGAGAGAGAGAGAGAGAGAGAGAGAGAGAGAGAGAGAGAGAGAGAGAGAGAGAGAGAGAGAGAGAGAGAGAGAGAGAGAGAGAGAGAGAGAGAGAGAGAGAGAGAGAGAGAGAGAGAGAGAGAGAGAGAGAGAGAGAGAGAGAGAGAGAGAGAGAGAGAGAGAGAGAGAGAGAGAGAGAGAGAGAGAGAGAGAGAGAGAGAGAGAGAGAGAGAGAGAGAGAGAGAGAGAGAGAGAGAGAGAGAGAGAGAGAGAGAGAGAGAGAGUUUAGAGGGAAAUGGAUAACAUUUUUACACUCAGUUUAUCUUUCACCUCCAAAAGUGAUGCUUCAAAUGGAGGAGAUAUCAUGACAUAUGACAUUGCUAUUGUGAGUGUUAUGCCUUAGGUACCUAAGUCACUAUUUGUAAAGAAUAGACGUAAGUCAUUUUUUGUAGUGUUACGCACUUAACAUUCUAUCAAAGUCUCGCUUUUUAGCCAUAUUACUAUUGCAUUUUUUUCUAAGUACCCAAGUCACUCUUACAAAGAAUGAACUUAGAUAAUCUUUUAUAAAGUUACGCUCUUAGCAUUUUAUUGAAGGCUCAUCUUUUAGGUGCUUAUUUAGAAAAUAUUUCUAAGUACCUAGGUUCUUCUUUGUAAAGAAUUGACCUAAUAAUUUUAGUUGGUAGAAGUUUGCCUUGGACAUUUUGUCCAUACCUACCCUUAGACACUUGACUUAGAUUAUAUUGUAAGUACCUAGGUCACUUUAUAGAGAAAUGACCUAGGUCUUUUUAUAGAUUAAUGCCAAUGGGCAUUUUAUCAAUACAUGCCAUUAGGCACUUCAUUAAGAUAUGCUUAUAUGCAUUUUAUCAAGACACACCACUUUUCGGCAAUUUAUCAAUACAUGCCCUUGGGCUUUUCGUCGAGACACAUCUUUAGGAAUUUUGGUUGAUGAAGCUGCUUAUUGGGCACUGGUAGAGUUGCAACUAAUCAUCACAAUGGGGAUAAUGAAUUCCCUGGAUUGUUACAUGACUCUACCUUUCAAAUUGGGAUGAAAGAUUUGAGUUUCACUGGAGGUCAGGAACAUGUAAGGAGACUGUCAAUUCGCAACCCAGCUCAAACUAUGUCCCUUUUCGCAUCCUUUUAACUUUCAUAUUUUGCCACGAGACCAGAGUAUUUGUACUUAUCAUGCAUGAUGAAGAUAAACCACUUUGACCUUUUGUUAGGUCCUAGUAGAUGGUGCAACUGUUGAUGCAAAUUUUAGCACAAUAAAUAGUAACUAAUUUUUGUUAUAGAAUUUUUUCUAUAUCAAGCUUUGUGCUCAUUUUCUCCUUGAGGCGAGGCUCUCCAAUCAUGUGUUUUCUUGUGGUUAAUUGUUUUGUAAAAGAAACAAUUGUCAAAGGGUCCUCGAAGUUGUCGUCGGUAAUCUUCCAAUACUCAAGUUAGCCUUUUAUACUCAAUUUUCAGAAAUAGAAAGUUUAAACAGAAGCAAGCAACAUUUUUGUACUCAUUUGUGUCUUACCUCUAAUAGUAGGAGGCUUUAGCCUUUAUAUAGACAAUUUGAAGAAUUGAGGUGAAGGAAUUAUCAAACAUGUUGCUGGCAUUGCUUUUAUGAGAAGUGUUCACAAAGCGUAUGUAUAAUAAAAUCUAUUAAUAUGUGUCAAUACUUAUUCAUGACAAAUAUUCUUAGCAUACUUGUUAUGAUAUUUGACUAUAUCUUUAAUGGGCUUGGGCUUGACUUUGCCCCUUAUCAGUUCCUUGUUAAGAAAAUUAGUUUAGUAGCACACUGCCAAUAAGCGACCAUUUUCUAUGUUUUUACCCAUAGGCACUUAGAAUAUUUUGUAAGUAGUUGGCUUAGUUCAUUCAUGUAGAGAAUAACUUAAACCUUUUUUUUAAAACAAAAUUUGCUCGUUGGUGUAUUUGUAAAACUUUAUCCAUAGGCAAUUUCCUUAGAAUGUUUGUCAGAAGGCUUUAUGUAAAAUGUAUGUUUGCCACAAGCUCAUAAUUUAUUUUUGGCAUGUAGGCUCAAUUUGUAGAAAGUUUGUUUGGCCGUAGGCUUAGUCUAUAAAAUAUUUAUUUGUUAUAGGCUCAUUCCGUAGGACGUUUGUUUGCCUAUAGAUUCUUUAUGUAGAGUAUUUUCUAUGUAUCUAAGUCAUUUUUGUAGCGAAUAGACCUAAAUCAUUUUUACAUAAUCAUAUACUUAGGCUUUUUGUCGGCAUUUACAUAAUUUAUUUAGAAUAUUUUCCAAGUAUCUAGAUUAUUAUUAUAAGGACUAUGCUUAGCUUAUUUUUGUGCAAUCAAAUACUUCGGUAAUUUAUUUAGAAUUUUUUUAAGUACCUAAGUUAUUCUCGUAAGGAAUAGGCCUAAGUUAUUUCUAUGCAAUCAAACACUUAGAUAUUUUAUCGAUUCUGGCCCUUAGGCUGUUCACAUAGGAAAACUCUCUAAGUAGCCAGAUCAUUCUUGUGAAAUAUGAACCUAAAUUAUUUCAUGCAUAAAAUUUUUACGGUCCAAUUUUAUUCUGGUCGACUUUUGGGCUUUUUGUAAUUUAAAAAUAACAAGGGUUAAAGCCACAGUGGCUACGACAUGAAGUAGAAGUACUGAUUGCCGAGAGAGUAUAAACAACCAUUUGAAUUGGUGUAGAUUUGACAGUUCUGGACAAAAUCAACUUAGCAGGUAUAAAGUAUUUAGUGAACACAUACAUCUUUGCUUCAAUUGCACGGCUGUCCAAACAGCAAUUCAAACAGAGCCUAUAUCACCAAAUUCCAAUGGUUUUUUUCGUUUUUAUAUUCAUCAAAAUCCCUUUUUCUGUCCUUAAACUUGAUAAUUCGCUUGUGAGAGAAUCUCGAUGGAUCUAUCUGUGUUCUAUCAAUGGUGGUGAACAUUUGCUCCUUGUUCAGAGCCGUCAAAAAAACAUUUUGAAAUAAUAUAGUUUACAACAAUUGAUCAUACAAUAGGCAUUUUAAAUUCUACUUAGAGAGGCAUAUUAUAUGAAGCUCUCAGAACAAGUAAAUGCUUUCAAAUUAGACUUUUGCAUGAAAAUUUCUACAAAAAUAACUCAAAAUAUACAACUUUAAAUUGUCUGCGUCUAUCAACUUUUUAUCCAGGACUAAAGUAGCCAAUUUGUAAUCAUUAUUGCUUUAACUAACCAAAUUUUUUCUUCUCAAUUCUCACAGGUACAAAAGAAAAAAAGAAAUUAACAGAUGGCAUUGAAUUGCAGCAUAGAAGAGAAUAGGCAAGUAGAACAAAGAAAAGGAGCCGACGGGUUGUGGAAGCAAAAUCACCUUGUGACUGAGUGAUUUUCCAUUUAUAACAAUUUACAACACAAAACAUUCGGCAGAAUUUUAAUAAAUUCAAGCUUAUUCCACAUGGAACAGAAUUAAAGUGCAGCAUAGGAGGGAACAAGAAAGGCACAGAAUCAUGUGCACGUUUGCGUACGAGAUUAAAUGCAAUUAAAAAAAAAAGCAUAAAAAACUUUUUUAAUCAUGUACCUUCAUAGAAUCAAUCAAAUAGAUAAGGAAAGGUCCAACUCCAUAGCUUAACAGAUUUUUUUUAAAAAAACUGCCCUUAUCAAGGAUUGAUCUUCUGCACAAAUGUUCAGUUCAAUAUAAUGCAGGUGUUCAUGGAAUUCGUAUUGUCAUGGAAACUUGUCAAAACGAAAGUGGUCUAGGGUAUUUAACCAAUUUUUAAAUCUUUGUACACAUUUCAAAAGGACACAAUAAAUUUAUAAUUCUUAUUUACAGAAGAACAAGAGUACAAGCACAUAAAACAAAAUUUAAGAAGGCGACCAUACAAUAUACAGCUAGUUCUAUUGACCUUUUCUGUUUAGCUAUUUUGAAGAACAAAAACUGACAUUCUGCGAGAUAGAUUGCUACUUGACUAGAGAUUCUGUCAGGAUGUCACUCCGCAAAGGAUGAAGGCAUGAAUAAGGCUUUGUGCAGCACGCAUUUGAUCUGACGUCCCAGAGACCAUCACAACGCCUUCGGUAGCCCCAGGUUUUGGGUCAUUAACAACUACAUUUGCACCUGAGAUCUGAGAUAUAGUUGCCUGGUCAUAGUGAGCAUUAAUUGAUUGUAGAUUUUUUAGCAACUUGAGAAAUAGAAAUCAACAGCAUUAAGAUAUCUACCCACCUGCCGGAUGUGACUCAGGUUACUGUUAUACUCUCCAUAAACAUGGGCCAUGUAUAGUUGGGGGAUCACAACCUCAACGGUGGUGCUUGUCAAUAUAGCAGCAUGAUUUCCACUGCUCAGAAAAUAAUGGCCAAUCAUAUCAUUUACUUUGAAAACAAAUCAUGAAAACUUUGUUCUCCUUAUAUUUAUUCAUACACCACAUAUAAGAAAAAAAGAAGCUAUAGAUUGGCAACUUUCUAAAAUUCAUUGAUGAGAGCAUAGGAUUAAAAUCUGGCGACAGAAAGCAUGUGAUGCCAAGAAGAAGAAAUAUAGGUAUAAAAUGACAAGAACAUUCUGAAUUCAGUGAUACAGGAAUCCUUAAGAAGCUAGAAGGUAGACACAGUAUAUGAUGGCAUCUUCACUACAAUGUAUCUAGUACUCAUGACAUUAAGCCAAUUGAUUGGAAAAUGACCACAACAUUGAACUAUAAACCUAUUAGAGAAAGUGAUACCUUUCAACAGGCCUAUUUCUUGGGGUGAAGCCAGAACUAGCAUCAAAUCCCCUAGGAUCCCCACCACCAACUCCCUGUCACAAAAUGAGAUCUAGGUCCAUUAUGAUUUUAUUUAUCUUUGAUAAAAGAAAUAAAACAAAAGAAACAUUAUCAAUUACGUUAAGUGACACAUUCAUUAAGUUCAAACAAUAAGCACACUUUUUGAAGCACCAGGCACUAACCUGAGGGGUCCAAGAUCUCGGAGAUGGAGGCCGAUCAAAUGUAGGACCAUGCCCAGGUCGCUCACUGCCAUAAGGAAAGGGGAUUCGAUCUGAAUUAGGUGGGACCAUAGGAUCCAUACCAUGUGAAAAUGCUGCCUGAUGAUCAAAAGGUUGUGAUGGACCCAUACCACGGUCCAUGCUGUGGAAAGGGCCAACAGGUGAAGGAUAUGAACCAGGGGAGGCUGGGUUAUGUCUCGGCCUAAAUGGUGGGGGAGGCAUUUCUGGAAAAGGAGGCAAGUAGGAGUGGCCAUUGUUUGGACCGGGUCGUUUCAUAGGGAAUAUAGUCUCCCGUAGUCUGCUUGUAAUGUGAAAUAAAGCAUCCUGUACAGAAUGAUAGUUGCCAAUAACCUGCAAGAGAGUGCCAAUCAUUUAAUAUCUCCUAAUAGUGCUUCUUUAGACAGUAAGAGAGCACACUCCACCUGGAGAUUUAUAAAGGUUACAAAAGCUAUUUGCAAGUCAUAUUUUGAGUCACAAGACAUAAUCUGGCAGGAAAAAUGAAGAUAAAAGGUGAAAAGAAUUAGUAGGCUUAAGUCAAUCCGUCGUUGAUCCACAGUUAUGGUGUCAUUGACGAAAAGGGCCUCAAACAAGGAUUAUAUAGACUAAUUAUAUCGUCUUGCCAUCUUGUACAGGCAAGACACCAGGCAGAUAAUUCUAAAUUACUAGAAUUAGAUUUAUGGUAAAAUUACUUCCAAUGAAUCAGAAUGGACAGGAAUCGAAUGAAUAGGAAUCAGAAUGAGCUGUAUUCCCACUGAUGUGUUUCCUUUUGUCUUGUAAUCGGAAUAGAUUGUUAUAAGCUACUAGAAUGCCCUUAGUAAAAUUGUAUAUUUUUCUCUAGCAAAACAAAUAAGUAAACAUUUCUAAGGGAAAUACAUGGAUGUUUAUUAUAAUAUUGAGCAUACAACUAUAAUUUUUAGAAUAAACUAGUUUCUGCUGUUAUUAUUAUUAUUAUUACUCCUACUCUAAUAAUAAUAUUAUUAUUUUUCUAAUUUUUAAAUAGGGUAAAAAAUGAAUAUUUAAUUUUCCUUCCCAUUCCCCCAUUUUCAUUCCCACCUCCCCAUGAGAAAGGGAUUCCCAUUCCUCAUAUCCAAAUUUGUGGGCUCCACCCAUAAUCCAUUCCUGUUCCUUGAUGUUUUUAGCAAGUAAACAUGAUCAAUCAAAAUGAUUCCCCAAUCAAAGAAGAAAGCGCAUCCUAAUAUUCUUUUUAGGAGAAUGAUAGGUGAGAAAGUAAGUUCAGGUCAGAUGAUUUUCAACCAAGCACUGAUUCAUUCCAAAAUUUAUUCCCAAACCAACCCAUUGAGCAUCAUUCUCCAAACACACCGAAAACAAAGUGGUAGCAAUGUCAAAAUACAUGUCAAGGACAAUCCAAAAAUUUCUAUCUAUUCUUCAUGCAAAACAAUAGAUAAAUAAAUAAAGCUGAAGUGACUUUUUCAUUUUGAAGAGAUGCAUAGAAAUAAAUAUAUUCCAAAUCCAUUAAUAAACCCUGGAUCCAUCCACCAACUCAAACAUCAAGCAGGCAUUCACAUAGAGUAAGCAUGUAUCAAGAAAGAAAAAGAAAAAUAAAAGGUAGAAGAGACUUAAACAGAUCAAUACAACUAGCAGAAAAGAUGUUUCAUGCCUGUACUACUUGGUCACCUGAACAAUUUCAUCAUGCGGAGAACCACACCUUGGAGCCUGGUCUUUUGGAAAUACACGUAUACUAGCACCAGUAGCUCUCCUCAUCUCACUAACAAUAUGGCCUCCUCUACCCAGUAAACAACCUAUCUGCUGUGAGUGUACAAGAAGCCGAGCAACUACUGCUUGACCAGGUUCAAAUCCGAUCUCUGCAAUUCUUGAAUGCACACGCAUAACAGCAUCCUGAGCAGGUGAGUGCCUCAUCUCUGAAUUCUGCAGUGGGUCAAACCAAAUUGAAAAUGUUAAAGGAAAGCAAUCUUGAUACUUGCAUAGAUUCAAAUCAAAUUACUUAAGGUAUAAAUCCUAUAAAAUUUCAAUGACGACUUUUCCUAUUAACAUUGUAAUAUAUGAGAAGGUAUUGGAUUCUUUCUUUUCCCUUGUAACUUCAAAUAAAGAAGAGGAGACAUGCUCCAAGGACACAAUGCAUAUAAACACUAUCUAGAACUCAUUAAAAAGAAAUGUAGGUGUGAUCUGUUGGAUAAUAGCUCCACAUCUUCUGGUCCCAUCCUACCACAUAUAAUUCAAUGGCAUGUUUAUAUUAUUACUAACCCUGUAAACAGAGCAGCACCAAAGGGGCAACUAUUGAGGUGUUCAACAAAGCAAGAACAGUCACAACGAGUCAAUUUAGUGGACUUAUUAUUCUGACACAGGGAAAAACAUUCUCAGUCAAAUUUCAAACAUAAAAGCUCCCUUAUUACCCCAUCUGCAAGAAAAUUGCAGCUCACCACAAAGUCCUAAAGGAGUAUAAUCAAAUACGGUUAAGUUUCAUGCCUCUCGUGCAGAUAUCACAACGAUCCGCUCUUCUGAAUCAGGCAAAAUAUCUGCAAUCUUGAUCGAUGCGCCAGUUUCAUUUUGAAAAGUCCGUACUAUAGAUCCACCUUUCCCUAUCAAACUACCAACUUUAUCAAGAUGGCACAACAACUUAAACACAACUUCCUCUUCGUAAAACAUUCUGUUACGACCUCCAACAGUCUCGUGCCCUGGACCCGAAGAAUAGCCCCUCGAAUGAUAACUGGGUGCAUAUCCUCUCUGAUGAAAUGGUUCAGCAGCUGGAGGGUAAGGAUUUCCUUGAACCACCAUUCCUGAAGAUUUUGUUACAUUAGCUUUGAGUGCAUCGACUCUUCUGCUAUCUUGAACAAAAUUUGAAACCGACAAUAGUGCUUUCUUUACAUCUGGAAAGCUUCCUGAUAUCUGCAAAUUAGAAUCCAACAAAAGUCAUUAGAGAAAGUAACCAUUACACAAUAAAUACAUCCUUAUAAAAUUUAAGAAACAAAUUCAACAAGCGACCCUAUCCGAACAUUCCACAACAUCUGUCACUUGAUGAACAUGAAAAGUCCAAAACACAUGUUAAGCCUAUGUUUGUAACUAUUGUGCUUCUACUAAACUUUGAAAGCACGACAACUAAAGUGUUUGGCAGACACUCAACGUUUACACAGUCGCUAAGAUUCACAACCCACCCACUCACUUGCGUUUGGCAACUUAGUGAUUGCAUUCCACAUAAGCCAUGGAUAAUAGCAUCUAAAUACCUCUUAUCAAAAAACAGCACCUCAAGCCCCCACACACCCUAAAUGUAGCAAUUCCUUAAGCAUAGUUUCAUUUAUCCUUUUUGGCUUGUUAUUCACAUUUUCAAUUUGAAUGCCAAUUCCUGUCAAUAACACCACAUAUAACAAAAACUCAUAAUUUUCUAUUAUACAAAAUGAUGUUGCACAUAAAAUCAGUAGAUAAUUGAAAAUAGAUUUUGUGAAGUGAUUAAUGCGAUGCCACAUAGGUACUUCAAUGCAUGACUCUAGAAAAAAAAGAAAAAAAGACUCGAAUUUUUCAAUAACCUGAAUCAACAAAUCAUCGGCAGCAAAAAAAUGAUCUUUAGCUAAAAUCCUAACAUUAGCUCCGCUCUCACUUUCAAUCUUCUCAAAAACCUUACUUAAUCCUCUUCCAAUCAGCAUCUUGCACGUCACCUCUCUAUCUCCCACCACCUCCGCUUGCUCUCCUGCUGCUUCGCGCCUCACUAUCGUCUCAUACAACCUCACCAGCGCCUUCUGUUCCGCCGUCCACGUUUCCUCCUCUUCUCUCCUCACAUUCGGAUGGUUAUCUCUAUUGGCGGCGGCAGAGGAGGAGUCGGCUGUGAUUUGGAGUACGCAGUCGUCGGAGGAGAGGUCGUCGAGGAAGCGAAUCUUGGCGCCGGAGACGGACUCGACGUGUCUGAUGGUGGAUUCCGAUCUGCCGAAUGCGACGGGGCAAACGAGACGUAGUUCGGUGCAGCCGCUCUCCAUGUUUUGGACUUUUGGAGUAGACACCUCGGUGGUUAUUCCAUAUUUAAUAUUUUCACCGGAAUUUUCUUUCACAUUUUCAAAAGUUUAAAAACCCAUUGAGGAAAGAAACCUAGUAGGCCCCAAAAAUUUGAAUUAUUUACUGGAAGGUCCCAUUAUUUCAAGAAUAUUCAUCUUAGACUCCUUUUUAAUCUUUAUAUGCUAUUUGGACCGGAAAAUUUUUCUUUUUUAAUUGUGUGCUAAUUGGUUCAACUACUAAUUUUUUUUGGAGUAGUCCGUGCUUUAAGUCUCAAUUUAAAUUAGCACUUAGCAGUUAGAGACAACUAGCAAAACUUUUAGAAGCAGGUUAAUUUGAAGUUUGAAUUUCACUAAGAUUAGUGAUUAGAGUUAGAGACCGAGAUGUAGUUAGGAUUUAUGCGUUUGAAAUAUAAGACAGUCAAAAUUUAAAUAAAAAUAUCUAUAAUUGAAAUAUUUUUACUCAUAUUUUUGACGAAUUUUCAUAUUUUUUAAAAAGGAUAUACGAUGGUUUUAUUGUCAAUAUUAUCAAAUGCAUCCACUCAUUAUUUGAUAACUGAAAUUUUCUAUGAAAGAAGAGAAAAAGAGAGAGUUGAAACAAUCUAUAUAUAUAUAAAGCUAGGACUACAAGAGGUGAUGUGCCAUCACUAUUUCUCAUCUUUGUAUAUUUUUUAUUAUUUAAUAAAUAGAGAUAUUUUCUUUCAAAUUUGGUUUUUCAUCUUCUCAUAAUUAAUUUGAUUGUUAUUACACAAUAACAAUUAUGUAAAGGUUUUAAUGAGGCAUAUUCUUUGUAAUGAACAUCCAAGGGGGAGUUUAUAAAUUUAUUAAAAUAAAUGUGGAUGUUCAUAACAUAUAUCUCUUAGUCUCCUCACUAUCUCCCAUUAGCAACAUUUAGCUUCUUUAUAACUCUCACUAUCUCACAAGGAAUUAUGAUUCGUAAUUUUUCAUUAAUUUUAUGGAGUGAUUAUGUAAGUAUAAAAGGAGAACUCGUCUUUUUGUUUUGUACCACACAAUUGAAAUGAAUAAAAUCACUUUACAAUAUAUUCUCUCAUUUUAUUCUUUAUCUUGCGUUCCGAGCGGCCUCCCUGCUGUACCGUACAUCCGCCUUGGCCGUACAGCAGAACCACCCGAUUUCCGACGACUGCAUUGGAUACUUCUACUGCAUUCAACAUUUCUAACUUUUAUUGGUUGAUAUACGUGUGAAUAAUAACACAAUCCUAUGAGGUAUUUUUUUAAUUAUUAAUGUUUGUUAAUCUUUAAGUGUAUAUUAGAAAUUAUUGAUCCUUAUGUUUUAACAUGUUUAUGUUAUUUUUCCAUAAUAUUACAGAUGUUGUCGGAAGUUUAUGUGGUGUGGGUGAUAUUGAGAUCAUUGGAGCUGGUUGGAAAAAAAUAGAUAUAAAAGUUCUAAAAGAUUAGCAAAUUGAAUAUAAUUUGGAACUUAUCAACAACUACAAAAGGUAUAAGGUUUGUGCACUUAACUAUACACAUUAAUAUAUAUAUUUAAAGUUAACAAACAAAUAAUUAACUUUCAUAAAUAACAUUAAUUUUAUAAGGCUGCCUCAUCUUAAAAAAAAUCAAUUCAUAUUUUUUAUCAGUUUCAUCGAGUAUAAAGUAAGAAAAAAAGAUAAUACUAAAUUAUUUUUUUAAAGCCGCGUGAAGCGCGGUUCUAUUUUGUAGUUUAUAUAUAAAGUUGGGACUAGAGGAGGUGAUGUGGCAUCACCAUUUAUCAUCUCAUUAAUAAUAAUUAAUUAUAAGUCUUGAAACAUUCAUUUAUUUUAUUAUGCCAAUAAUUAAACUUUAGUGGCUUAAAUACAUCAAUUAAUUAAUAUAGAAAGGAAUGUUUCUUUAUCUUCCCUCAACAAUGCCGUUAGGGUCUAAUUUUAAUGUCAUAAUCCCAUAUUUAAUUAUGCAACCUUUUGUUUAGUGCAUUUUGGCUUCUUCAAACUCUAUAAUAUUAAAUAGUUAAGAUUUGUGGCAUCAUUAUUUCUCAUCUUUUUAUAUUCUCUAUUAUCUAAUAUAUUGGUUGAGAUUAAAAAAUAAUUACAUUACAAAAUAUUAAAAAUAGAAAAUAAAUAGAAAAUAAUUAUUAGAUUACAAAAGAUUAUAUGUCUCUUCCUCUUUCUAUUUAAAUUCAACAAUAUGUAACCAUUAAUAAUAAUUAAUUAUAAGUUUUGAAACAUUCAUUUAUUUUAUUAAGCCAACAACUAAACUUUAGUGGUUUAAAAUACAUCAACUAAUCACCAUUUCUCAUCUUCUUAUACUCUCUAUUAUCUAAUAAACUAGAAAAUAGAACCGCGUUUCACGCGGCUUUGAAAAAAGAAUUUAGUAUUAUCUUUUUUUUUUUACUUUACACUUGAUGAAAUUGAUAAAAAAUAUCAAUUGAUUUUUUUUUAAGAUGAGGCAACCUUAUAAAAAACAAAAAAAAGCUAUUAACCAGCAAUACAAAUAAAGAAGCAACGCAAUAUAAAGAAUAAAAUGAGAGAAUAUAUUAUAGAGUGAUUUUAUUCAUUUCAAUUGUGUGUGUACAAAAUAAAAAGAUGAGCUAUCUUUUUAUAGUUACAUAAUCACUCCAUGAAAUUAAUGAAAAAUUAUGGAUCAUAAUUCUUUGUGAGAUAAUGGGAGUUAUAGGAAAGUUAAAGGUUGCUAAUGGGAGAUAGUGGAGAGACUAAGAGAUAUAUGUUAUGAACAUCUACAUUUAUUUUAAUAAAUUCAUAACACUCCCCCUUGGAUGUUCAUUACAAAGAAUAUGCCUAAUUAAAAUCUUUACAUAAUUGUUAUUGUGUAAUAACAAUCAAAUUAAUUAUGAGAAGAUGAAAAACCAAAUCUAAAAGAAAAUUUCUCAAUUUAUUAGAUAAUAGAGAUAUACAAAGAUGGGAAAUGGUGAUGCCAUAUCACAUCCUUAAGUCUCCAGCUUUAUAUAUAUACUAGGAAAUACAAUCGCACUUCGCGCAGUUUUAAAAAAAAAUUUACUAUUAUCUUUUUUUAUUACUUUGUACUUAAUGAAACUGAUAAAAAAUAUGAAUUUUUUUUAAAAGAUGACGCAGUCUUAUAAAACUAAUGUUAUUUAUGAAAGUUAAUUAUUUUUUUAUUAACAUUAAAAAUAUAUAUUAAUGUGUAUAGUUAUUGUAGACAACCUUUUCAUCAAUAAAAAUUAUGUUCACACUACUCAACUCUAUAUUUUUCUUUGUAUUAACAGACUCCCACAUGAUCUUACAAAGCCUAACCCUUAUCAUCCAACUAUUUUUAUCAUUGUUUAACUCAUGAAGAAAAGAGUACUCCAUGAAGCACACAAUACUAAAAAUUUAAAUAAGUCAAAAAAUAAAAACACAAGAACAUUUCUAAACAGGAUGUUAGUUAAAUAAUUAAAAAAAUCCAAACAUAACAAAUCUUAAAUGCUUAAUAUUUAUAGAGUUUGAAGAAGCCAAAAGACACUAAAUAAAGGGUUGAAUAAUUAAAUAUGAGAUUAUGACAUUAAAAUUAUGUCAUAGUGGCAUUGGUGAAGGAAGAUGAAGGAACCUUCCUUCCUAUAUUAAUUAGUUGAUUAAUUUUAAACUACUAAAGUUUAGUUGUUGGCUUAAUAAAAUAAAUGAAUGUUUCAAAACUUAUAAUUAAUUUAUUAUUUAUGGUUACAUAUUAUUGAAUUUAAAUAGAAAGAGGAAGAGACAUGUAAUCUUUUGUAAUCUAUUAAUUAUUUUCUAUUUUUAAUAUUUUGUAAUGUAAUUAUUUUUUAAUCUCAACCAAUAUAUUAGAUAAUAGAGAAUAUAAAAAGAUGAGAAAUAAUGAUGACACAAAUCUUAACUACUUAAUAUUUAUAGAGUUUGAAGAAGCCAAAAGACACUAAAUAAAAAGUUGCAUAAUUAAAUAUAGGAUUAUGACAUUAAAAUUAGGUCCUAAUGGCAUUGGUGAGGGAAGAUGAAGGAACCUUCCUUCCUAUAUUAAUUANNNNNNNNNNNNNNNNNNNNNNNNNNNNNNNNNNNNNNNNNNNNNNNNNNNNNNNNNNNNNNNNNNNNNNNNNNNNNNNNNNNNNNNNNNNNNNNNNNNNNNNNNNNNNNNNNNNNNNNNNNNNNNNNNNNNNNNNNNNNNNNNNNNNNNNNNNNNNNNNNNNNNNNNNNNNNNNNNNNNNNNNNNNNNNNNNNNNNNNNNNNNNNNNNNNNNNNNNNNNNNNNNNNNNNNNNNNNNNNNNNNNNNNNNNNNNNNNNNNNNNNNNNNNNNNNNNNNNNNNNNNNNNNNNNNNNNNNNNNNNNNNNNNNNNNNNNNNNNNNNNNNNNNNNNNNNNNNNNNNNNNNNNNNNNNNNNNNNNNNNNNNNNNNNNNNNNNNNNNNNNNNNNNNNNNNNNNNNNNNNNNNNNNNNNNNNNNNNNNNNNNNNNNNNNNNNNNNNNNNNNNNNNNNNNNNNNNNNNNNNNNNNNNNNNNNNNNNNNNNNNNNNNNNNNNNNNNNNNNNNNNNNNNNNNNNNNNNNNNNNNNNNNNNNNNNNNNNNNNNNNNNNNNNNNNNNNNNNNNNNNNNNNNNNNNNNNNNNNNNNNNNNNNNNNNNNNNNNNNNNNNNNNNNNNNNNNNNNNNNNNNNNNNNNNNNNNNNNNNNNNNNNNNNNNNNNNNNNNNNNNNNNNNNNNNNNNNNNNNNNNNNNNNNNNNNNNNNNNNNNNNNNNNNNNNNNNNNNNNNNNNNNNNNNNNNNNNNNNNNNNNNNNNNNNNNNNNNNNNNNNNNNNNNNNNNNNNNNNNNNNNNNNNNNNNNNNNNNNNNNNNNNNNNNNNNNNNNNNNNNNNNNNNNNNNNNNNNNNNNNNNNNNNNNNNNNNNNNNNNNNNNNNNNNNNNNNNNNNNNNNNNNNNNNNNNNNNNNNNNNNNNNNNNNNNNNNNNNNNNNNNNNNNNNNNNNNNNNNNNNNNNNNNNNNNNNNNNNNNNNNNNNNNNNNNNNNNNNNNNNNNNNNNNNNNNNNNNNNNNNNNNNNNNNNNNNNNNNNNNNNNNNNNNNNNNNNNNNNNNNNNNNNNNNNNNNNNNNNNNNNNNNNNNNNNNNNNNNNNNNNNNNNNNNNNNNNNNNNNNNNNNNNNNNNNNNNNNNNNNNNNNNNNNNNNNNNNNNNNNNNNNNNNNNNNNNNNNNNNNNNNNNNNNNNNNNNNNNNNNNNNNNNNNNNNNNNNNNNNNNNNNNNNNNNNNNNNNNNNNNNNNNNNNNNNNNNNNNNNNNNNNNNNNNNNNNNNNNNNNNNNNNNNNNNNNNNNNNNNNNNNNNNNNNNNNNNNNNNNNNNNNNNNNNNNNNNNNNNNNNNNNNNNNNNNNNNNNNNNNNNNNNNNNNNNNNNNNNNNNNNNNNNNNNNNNNNNNNNNNNNNNNNNNNNNNNNNNNNNNNNNNNNNNNNNNNNNNNNNNNNNNNNNNNNNNNNNNNNNNNNNNNNNNNNNNNNNNNNNNNNNNNNNNNNNNNNNNNNNNNNNNNNNNNNNNNNNNNNNNNNNNNNNNNNNNNNNNNNNNNNNNNNNNNNNNNNNNNNNNNNNNNNNNNNNNNNNNNNNNNNNNNNNNNNNNNNNNNNNNNNNNNNNNNNNNNNNNNNNNNNNNNNNNNNNNNNNNNNNNNNNNNNNNNNNNNNNNNNNNNNNNNNNNNNNNNNNNNNNNNNNNNNNNNNNNNNNNNNNNNNNNNNNNNNNNNNNNNNNNNNNNNNNNNNNNNNNNNNNNNNNNNNNNNNNNNNNNNNNNNNNNNNNNNNNNNNNNNNNNNNNNNNNNNNNNNNNNNNNNNNNNNNNNNNNNNNNNNNNNNNNNNNNNNNNNNNNNNNNNNNNNNNNNNNNNNNNNNNNNNNNNNNNNNNNNNNNNNNNNNNNNNNNNNNNNNNNNNNNNNNNNNNNNNNNNNNNNNNNNNNNNNNNNNNNNNNNNNNNNNNNNNNNNNNNNNNNNNNNNNNNNNNNNNNNNNNNNNNNNNNNNNNNNNNNNNNNNNNNNNNNNNNNNNNNNNNNNNNNNNNNNNNNNNNNNNNNNNNNNNNNNNNNNNNNNNNNNNNNNNNNNNNNNNNNNNNNNNNNNNNNNNNNNNNNNNNNNNNNNNNNNNNNNNNNNNNNNNNNNNNNNNNNNNNNNNNNNNNNNNNNNNNNNNNNNNNNNNNNNNNNNNNNNNNNNNNNNNNNNNNNNNNNNNNNNNNNNNNNNNNNNNNNNNNNNNNNNNNAAUAGAGAAUAUACAAAGAUGAGAAAUGGUGAUGCCACAUCAAGUCCCAACUUUAUAUAUAUAUAUAUAUAUAUAGAUAGAUAGAUAGAUAGAUAGAUAGAUGAUUACAUAUUGUUGAAUUUAAAUAGAAAGAGAAAAAAAAUACAAAGAAUAUCCACCAAUAUUUUAGAUAUUUUAGAUAAUAGAAAAUAUAAAAAGAUGAGCCUCAAUCACAAAUGCACCCGUAGUUUUCUACAAUUUAUUUAUUGAUACGAAUUGCUUGUACAAAUUAUUUGUGUAGAAAUGACGUUAUUACUAAAUAAUUGGUUGGAUGAUUUUUUCUUGGCCUAAGUAGUUAAUUUUCAUUUAUUAUGCGGAAUUUUCUUUUUUCAUUCCAAUAAUAGUAUAAAACACAUUCGCCCGCGUACAAUAUAAUUGUACAAAAAAAUUAUGUUCCUAGCAAUACUCUUACUUAUAUGAGUUUGUACUCAUGAAAAGUACGUAGCAACAGCUGGGACUACAAGAGGUGACGUGGUAUCACUAUUUCUCAUCUUCUUAUAUUCUCCAUUAUCGAAUAUAUUGGUUGAUAUUAAAAAAUAAUUACAUUACAAAUUAUUAAAAAUAGAAAAUAAUUAUUAGAUUACAAAAGAUUACACGUCUCUUCCUCUUUUUAUUUAAAUUCAACAAUAUGUAAUCAUUAAUAAUAAUUAAUUAUAAGUUUUGAAACAUUCAUUUAUUUUAUUAAGCCAACAACUAAACUUUAAUGGUUUAAAAUACAUCAACUAAUCAAAAUUUCUCAUCUUCUUGUAUUCUCUAUUAUCUAAUAAAUUGGUUGAGAUUAAAAAAAUUAUUACAUUACAAAUAUUAAAAAUAAAAAAUAAUUAUUAGAUUACAAAAGAUUACAUGUCUCUUCCUCUUUUUAUUUAAAUUCAAUAAUAUGUAACCAUUAAUAAUAAUUAAUUAUAAGUCUUGAAACAUUCAUUUAUUUUAUUAUGCCAAUAAUUAAACUUUAGUGGCUUAAAUACAUCAAUUAAUUAAUAUAGGAAGGAAUGUUUCUUCAUCUUCCCUCAACAAUGCCAUUAGGAUCUAAUUUUAAUGUCAUAAUCCCAUAUUUAAUUAUGCAACAUUUUGUUUAGUGCCUUUUGGCUUUUUCAAACUCUAUAAAUAUUAAGUAGUUAAGAUUUGUGGCAUCAUUAUUUCUCAUUUUUUUAUAUUCUCUAUUAUCUAAUAUAUUGGUUGAGAUUAAAAAAUAAUUACAUUAUAAAAUAUUAAAAAUAGAAAAUAAUUAUUAGAUUACAAAAGAUUACACGUCUCUUCCUCUUUUUAUUUAAAUUCAACAAUAUGUAAUCAUUAAUAAUAAUUAAUUAUAAGUUUUGAAACAUUCAUUUAUUUUAUUAAGCCAACAACUAAACUUUAAUGGUUUAAAAUACAUCAAAUAAUUAAUAUAGGAAUGAAGGCUCUUUCAUCUUCGCUCACCAAUGUCACUAGGGCCUAAUUUUAAUGCCAUAAUCUCAUAUUUAAUUAUGCAAACUUUUGUUUAGUGUCUUUUGGUUUCUUUAAACUCUAUAAACAUUAAGUAUUUAAGAUUUGUUAUGUUUGGAAUUUUUAUUAUUAUUUAACCAACAUCCUCUUUAGAAAUGUUCUUGUGUUUUUAUUUUUUGACUUAUUUGAAUUUUUAGUAUUGUGUGCUUCAUGGAGUACUAUUUUCUUCAUGAGUUGAAUAAUGAUACAGAUAGUUGGAUGAUAAUAGUUAGGCUUUGUAGGAUAUGAGAGUCUGUUAAUAUCAAGAAGAAUGAAAAAUUGAUUAGUGUGAAUAUAAUUUUUAUUGAUGAAAAUGUUGUAUACACUUAACUAUACAUAUUAAUAUAUAUUUUUAAAGUUAACAAAAAAAUAAUUAACUUUUAUAAAUAACAUUAGUUUUAUAAGGUUGCAUCAUCUUUAAAAAAAAUCAAUUCAUAUUUUUUAUCUGUUUCAUCAAGUACAAAGUAAAAAAAAAAAGAUAAUACUAAAUUAUUUUUUUAAAGCUGCGCGAAGCGCAGUUCUAUUUGCUAGUUCAAGAAAAAAAGAGAAAGCCGGAGAGAAUGAAACUAAUCCAAGAAAGGAGAAAAGAACAUGAAAAAAAAAAGACUUUUAAUAUUAAAAUAUAAGUGAUAAAUGAAAUAGCAAGUGAGAAAUGUAUAACACACAACCCAAUAAUACUUUUUACAACUUACUUCCUAAAGUCAUUUGUGUAAACAUUACUCUUAUCAAUAGAUAGAUUGAAAUAUCUCAUAACAAUUAUGAAUGUUUUCAUUGUAUUUAAUACUAUUUUUUUUUUAAUUUUGAAGCUACGUUUAAUAUAACAAAAGUGUCGGAUUUGUAUUUUAAAAUUUUAGGGUUUCGAUCGAUUCUAACACAAAGGGGGUUUUUUUUUUUUUUUUAAAGAAGAGUCAUAGAUCAUUCACAAGUUCUAAAAUCAAUCUAGCUAAAGCACUAACCGUGCAUUUACUUUCCAUAAAUCAGAAUGGGUAGGGAUCAGAAUUAUCUAAAAUCGAAAUAUGCUGGAAUUAAAAUGAAGAAUAAGGAUUUAAAUAAGUUUUUUACUUCAGCUGUAGAAAUUAAAAUAAAAAUAAGUUGUAUUUCCAAUGAUCUGUUUACUUUUUUUUUAAUAAUCACUAUGGAUUGUUUCAAGUUACCAUAAUGCCCUUAGUUAAAUUAUAUAUUUUUCACUAAUAAAACAAAUAAGCAAACAUUUUUAAGGGAAAUAUGUGCAAGCAUAUUAUAAUAUUGAGCACAAUAAUAUAAUUUUUAGAAUAAACUAACAUAAUAGUAGUAGUAGUAAUAAUAAUAAUAAUAGAAAUAAUUAUUUUUUUUAUUUUUAUUACAAUAAUUAUCAUAGUAAUAGAAUUAUUACUAUUAUUACUAUUAUUGCGUGAAUAUUGAAAUUAAUAAUAAUAAUAAUAUUAUUAUUUCAUAUUUAAAUAGGAUAAAAAAAAAGAAAUAUUUAAUUUUCUUUAUAGGUAAAUAUAUAAUUUUAUUUCCAUUCUCAUUCCCUAUUUUUAUUUCCACCCUUAUUAGAAAGAAAUUUUCAUUUCUUAUUCCCAAAUUUACAAGUCCCACGCAAAAUGCAUUCUAAUUCUUUAAUGCUUGUAUCAAGUAAACACAACUAAUAAUUCCAAUUUCCCGACUAACUUCCCAUCCUAGAAAAAGAAAGCAUCCUAAGUUCAGAUAUUGAGAAUUGAUGAAGAAUGAAAAACUUAGGCAAGAUUCUAAAUUUUGCAAAAAAAAGCACUGUACGUACUUUUAUUGAAUGGCUGAAUUUUGAAGAAAAAUUGACACCAUACUUUUAUUGAAUCGCACAUAAUUAAAUGAGUAUUAGGUGCAUGGGAUUAUAGAGAAUUAAUUGAAGAAGCAGAUAUUAUAGUCAAAAAUUGUAAAAGUCGCAAUAUUUGACUACUUACAAUCAAAACCUGCAAUAUCCCAUUGUAUAUCAUUUUAGUUUAACUAAGUGUUUUUUUAUUUUAUUUUAUAAGAAAGUAAGCUUUUCAUCAUUCAUUCAACAUUCAUGUACAUUUUGAACCUCUGCUGGUAUUUUUUCUAAUUAGAUGGUAGAUGUAUUUUUUUUAAAGCAAAUUUAGCUAAUGAAUGGACACAAGCAUUACAAUAUCUAGGAACAUAUUGAACUCUAACAUUUUAGAAGUCCCUUCUCUAUUUUUGGAUUUAUGAAAUUAUUCAAAAACUAUUUUGCAGCCCUUUGUAUUGUUUAUUAACUUAGCCACUUCUUGGCAAUCUGUUUCAAUGUUCAAUGGAGAUAAUUCUACCUCUCUUGCCACCUGUAAUCCCCACUCUAUAGCUUCAGCUUCUGUAAAUUAACAUUUCUCCUUAGUUAAGUCUGUUUGAUACCAAUAACUAUCACUUUGGCAUAUGAGUCUUUUACAACAGCUCCUCAACUUGUCAUUUAGUCUUUGCUGCUUAUGACUGCAUCAACAUGAUUUUGAAGGCAUUUCUGGGAGGGGAGAUCCACUUCUGCUGCUUCUCAUUUUUAGCAUUAGCAAUGUGUGAUGGUCCUGUUUUGCUUAAUCUGUGGUAUUCUUCCAAUACUGAUUCUGCCUCAGCUGCUGAGAUACUUGGGUAUAUUCUCUUGUUUUCAAAAAUAAAUUUAUUUCUUUCAUACCACGCAACCCAAUAUUAUGCCAUUGUAAGCUCAAUAUCAACUUUUCUCAGAUUGUUGCACAUGUCUUGAUAGUGCUGAGAAUGUCCUGAGUUGGAGUAUUAGGCUUUUGACUUUAAAAAGAGCUUUAAACCAUAUCUUUUUUACUACUUUAUAGUCCAAAAGAGGAUGGCCUAUGGUUUCCACACUCUUUCUACAUUUUUGACAAAUUGGCUCUUGUAGAAUCUUUCUUUUCCAUAGGUUAUCAGUUGUUAGCAAUAGGUAAUAUAUUUGUUGCUCUCCGCGUGAAGAUUUUGAUCUUUUUAGGUAACUAAAGUUGACCAUAAAAGGUUAUAUUGUUUAUAGUUACUCUCUGAAAUGCUGGAAAAGUUUGGAAAUUUGAUCUUAAGGGCUAGCUAAUAGCCACUUUACUCUAAGUACUUUCAUCUUUUACCAAAAUGCCACAUCACUUCAUCUUCUUUUUGUAUUUCUUGGAAAUUGAAUCUUGAGGAUUACUUUUGUAUCUUCACGCAUGAAAUGUUGAUUCAGCUUGUCUGCAUCCCAUUGAUUUUUAGCAUUGAUUAAAUCAGCUACAAUAGUUUUAGCAGGUAAAGUUAAUAGUGAUACUGGUUUGAAUAUGAAUGGCCUUGCUAUCCAGUUAUCCUUGUACACGAGUAUCUUUUUGCCAUUUCCUAUCUUCCAUAUGACUCUUUUUUUUAUACUUGCCUUCCCCAUAGGAUGUUUCUCUAUAUAAAGGAUCAAUUAAAGCUUGCAUUUGCAUUCAAAAAAUGGAGUUUCUGUAGUAUCUUUCUUGCAACAGUUUAGAUACUAAAAGAAUUCAGAAAUUGAAGUAGCCUCCAUCCUUACUUGGACAUCGGUGCUUGACUGAAGCUAGUACGAUCUCUAAACCCAAUCCUCCUCUGCUUUUUGCAUGGCUCAGCUUCUCCUACCUUGUCCAGUGAAUACCAUGCUUGUCUUCCUUUAUCCCUACUAAAACUUCACAAUAGCUCUUUGGAUACUAUCACAUAAACCCCUCAGGAGUUUGGAUAUACUUAUUGUGUAUGCAGGUGCAGCUUGGGCUACUGCUUUACUAAGAAUUUCCUUGCCUCUACUAUAGAACAUCUAGUGUUGUUAACUUGAAAUCUUACUUAAAACUUUGAGUUAGAUAUCACUAAAAAGCUCAUCUUCUUCCUACCUACUAUGGAUGAAAGGCUAAGUAUUUUUUAUAUUUAGACAUUACAUUAAGCUUGAAGAUACUCUUGAUUGCUGCAAUCUGUCCAUUUGGAAUCUUGCCACUAAAGAACAUAUAUGAUUUCUCAAAAUUAGAAAUCUACGUUGAUGCCCUUGCACAACCAUCAAAUAUCUCUUUUAAAUGCUUGCAAUCCGCCACCGAUGCUCUUGUAAAAACAAGGUUGUCAUCUGUAAAAAGCAGAUGGGAUAUUGUAACAUUAUUUGCAAAUCUCAAUCCUCGAAUCAACUAUUCCUUUCUACUUGCACCAAUAAGUUUGAAAAAUUCUACACACAUAAUGAAGAGAUAUGAAGAGAGCGGACAUCCCUUCCUUAGGCCUUUCUCAGGUUGUAUUAAACCUUUUGGAGCCCCAUUGAUUAUCACUAAAAAAGAAGCAGUAAUGAUGCAACUCAUUAUCAAAUUCACUCACUUGUUUAAAGAGCCAAGUUUUGCCAUUGUUUAUUCCAGAAAUUGUCAUUUAAUCUUGUCAUACGCUUCGCUUAUGUCUAAUUUUAGUGCCACAAAACCAUUUCUUUUCCCUUUGUUAUGUCUAAUCUUGUGGAGGCAUACAUAACCAAUAAUAAUAUUGUCUGCAAGAGUUCAUUAGGUAUGAAUGCACUCUGUCUUGGGGAUAUGAUUUGGGAUAUGAUUGGUUUCAAUCUAUUAGCAAUAGUCUGGGCAACAAUUCUAUAAACAACAUUGCAAAGGCUGGUAUGCCUAUAUUCAACGACUUUUCUAGGCUUAACAAUCUUAAGUAUGAGAGCAAUACAAGUAAGAUUGAGGGAUGCUAAGUUAUAUUGCUCAAUCCAGAAUGUGCAAGCAAGUUCAACUAUACCACUGCGAACUGUCUACUAAUUUUUUUGAAAGAAUAUUGCAGGCAAGCUAUUUGGAGCUAAAGCCUUUGUGGUGCACAUCUGAAAGAGGGCAUCAA
rnacentral:lncRNA from 1 species